rnacentral:lncRNA from 1 species
UAAUUUCAAACGGAGAUCAAGGAGUUGGAACCAUAUCCUUAAGGCGGGUCAAGAAAUGAGAUUUUUACACUGAACACUGUAGUGACACUAGGUACGUAAUACAAACUACAUCUUACAUCAACAUAACCACAAGAAAUUAUGGGAAGUGAUAAAUGGAAGGAUCAAAUGCUUUGAACCUCUGUCUCCUAAUUUUGCAUGCUAUAGUUAGCGAUACAAUGUGUAAAUUUCAUCCACCUAUGUUCCCUUUCAAUACUCUGAAUAGUAGUGGAACUUUUAAACAGUAGCUGGUCCAUAGUUUCAUCCAUUGAUAAAAUAACUUCAAGUCAUAGACAGUUGUAUGAAAAUAAUCAUCGUCAAUUGUAUGAAAAUAAAUACUAGAAACAAAAGCGUAGAGUGUAGAUGUACAAAUAAGGUAGCAAAAAUGGUUUCUAUUGGAUAAUUUUGUCAGAUGAGAAUUUUUAAUCUCACUCCUAUAUCUCUUUACAACUAAAUAUUUACAUGUUUAGAAACUAAAUGUGUCACAAAAAUGAUGGUUAAGUUCGAUUGAUUCUGUCCCCAAUCCCACUGAACCAUAACUCUGCUGUGUUUCUCAUCAUCUGACUCAUAAUGAACUCAAUUGAUUAGUAAGAUCAAUGAAAGUAUCUUCGUCGCAUGGGAUUGUGAGACCGCCCAUUGGGUGAUAAAAGCCAAACUCUUCUUCAGCUUGAUUUAACAAGGUUUGGAAUAAAUGAUGAUUCAAAUAUGAUAUUGGAACCACAAAUCGCUUGUUUUGAUUCUCUCCAACAUAUACUGCAAUGUGACCUUUUGGAACACUUGAAGUCUUUGUAUUUGAAAGAGAUCGUCGAAGACUUUUCUUAAUUUGAGGAAUACUAGGUAAGUGAAUAGCCAUGGAUGUUGCAAGAAUGACAAGAAAAAGAAAUGGAGCUUAAGAAUCUAUUGGACUUGAUAAUGUUCUACUGCCUUGGAGAUGGAUGGUUACUCUGAGAUGAUAUAUGUGCAUAUAUAUAUAUAUAUAUAUAUAUAGAAGACUGGUACUUAGGGAAGUUUCUUCAUCAAAUUUGUCACAAGUUAAUUCAGAGGCAUACCUUAUGAAGGAUCACAUGGUUUUGUCCGAUGUCUUUAAGAAAUUAUGCACUUGGAAGGUCACACUGAUCCAUUGAUUUGUUGCAGAAACAGCAUGGCCUACCAAUAAAGACAAACAAAUGCUACUGAAAUGGCCUGUCUAACACGAAUUUAUCUAAUAAUUCCGAUCAUGUAAGAGUUUAUAUGAGGUAGUCAAGACAUAUUCUUGCUUAUCCUAAACACACAUAAAUCUGUUAAAGUCCAUCUUAAAUGCUAUAUUAUAAGAUAAGAAAACCAGACAUUAUUUCAUAAGGGCCAGUAUGUAAGGUGUUGAAUUGUUGAUAUCAGCAGAAAAACUUAUGAGACAAUACAUUCAAGUGGAUUCGAACCUGUUUCCACAAACGAUAGACCCUAGUGUGUGGCCACAUAGAGUACAAUGUGACCACUCGACCGAUCCUGAUAAUUAGUUGCAAGGCAAAGCCAUGUGAUCCUUCAUCAGGCAUGCUGCUAAACCAUCUUAUCAAGCAAUGAAAAUAAUUAAUCAUCAUUAAAUCAGAUUAGAUAACACGGCAGGUCGGCAGCCUCAGCAGUCAGGACCUUUUCAAUGUCAGCACACUUUAUCUUCAAUCUUCAUACUUCAGCAAAAUGAGAAAAUGAGGAUAUUGCAUAAACAUAUAUGUACUUUAAUUAUAUUCAAUGACUACAUUUUAAAUGGUUGUGAUUCAAUCAGCACGUAUCUGUAAAAUAAUCCAUUACACCUUAUGUGGGCUAAAGUUUCUAAAUGGCAGGUCAAAAUAUGUGCAACGUGACCUUUUGCAAUUCCCAUCUGGAUGAUGAGCACCGUACGUAGACAAACCAUGUGAGAAUCCAUAAGGGAUCCUAUUCAAUGUAGCCCUUGCAAAUGAUUCCCAUCCAUAUAUAUACAACUAUGAUAAUAAGGCUACCUCACAUUCAGUUGUAUUUCGUAUCCAAUAACUUUCAAAGCUUUCUUUGUUUUUCAGCAUCUCUGCAAUACUACACCAGACAAUGGGAACUCGUCUACCAGUUAUUUUUCAGGCCAAGCAAAUUAUUCGCCGGGUCAUUUUGGCUCCAAUUGCCACAGAUGUUCCAAAAGGACACUUUGCAGUUUAUGUAGGAGACAACCAAACCAAGAAGAAGCGAUAUAUAGUUCCAAUAGCAUAUUUAAACCAAGCUUCAUUCCAACAAUUGCUAAGCAAAGCUGAGGAAGAGUAUGGAUAUCAUCAUCCAACUGGUGGUCUCACAAUUCCAUGCAAUGAGGAUCUGUUCAUCAACCUCACUUCUAAGUUGAAUAGCACAUGAGAGAGGAGGGGCAAAGGGGACAUAAUAUGGUGGCAAAGAAAUCAGUUGAUGUUCCUCCCAAUAUUUUGUCACAUCAAACGACUUGCCAGAAAAAAUGUCUCCACAAUUUUGUAGAGUAGGAUUUAUAAAGAUUCAAAAUCAUGUGAAUAGAUGUUUUUGUAUAUUAGAUGGUCAUUACAGGGAUAUCCAUGUACAUUCUACUUUAAAUGUAAUGGGUCAAAGCAUGCAGUUUUUUGUAUGUAGGCUUCCUUUUAGUUUUAGCAUGUUAUACUUACCGAUUAAUUCUUAAAGAGUAUCAGUUUGAUUACUUGAUGAUGCUUAAAUGAUUAAACAAUGAUUAGCAUCAACCAACAUCAGAAUUCUAUUAAACACUGAACCAUCUAUCCUAUUAAGCUUUUAGAUCUCAGAAGUGCCAUCCAUAUAUGUUAUCAACAAGGGUGACCUGUCGUAUAAUACUCUUGGUUGAACUCGUGUCCGGGAACAAGAUUUUUGACAACUUAAUUCCUGCAUAACAUAACAGGUUUUUUUUCUUUCAUUUUUCUUUUCAUGACAAGGGGACUUUUUCCAUAGGAAAAAAGAAGAGUAGAAAGUAGAAUCUUAAAGGAGUUUUGCAUACGUAUGUUCUGCAUAGAAUGCGGCAUUUAAGGUAGUUGCUACAAGAUCAAUACAGAUACACACACACUCACACACACAAAGACCUAAGAGUACGUUUUACCUGAGAGAUGAUGUAAGAGCCUGAAGUGCUUAGUACUCUGUGAGACUAUUUAUGGAGUGAACUGGUGCUGGUGGAUUUAUCUCGUCAUAACAAGAAGAGAACAGUACCGCAAAGAGAUGUCCUCUCAAUCUGCAAAUAGAUCAUUAGGGAGAUAAGCUUAUAUAAUAUUUCUUGUUACAAAAUCAAGGUUAUUUGAUAAGAAUGAAUAUCAUCACUGCAAGAUUAUCUUUAACACUGAUACAAAAAGAACUAGAGAUAAGGACAAAUAUGUAUAAGUUUGUUUUCAAAGAAGCGGGCACACAAAAAGCUACAUUUAUACUAUAGGAUCACAUAUAUAUACACUAUAAUUAUCUGUUACUAAUUCCAAAUGUAAAACGAACUUGGUGACAGUCUAAAUCAUCAGUUGCAUCCCAUGAUAAGAGAACUAUAAGUCAUACACCUAUUUUGUAAAAACUGUACUUAGAAAAGAAGAGUAGGAAUAGAAACAGCGGAAGAUAAGAGAAAUUGUUGUAAAACGAACUUGGUGACAGUCUAAAUCAUCAGUUGCAUCCCAUGAUAAGAGAACUAUAAGUCAUACACCUAUUUUGUAAAAACUGUACUUAGAAAAGAAGAGUAGGAAUAGAAACAGCGGAAGAUAAGAGAAAUUGUUUCUAUUAUAUAAUGUUGUCAAAGGAGACAUUGUAAUCUCAGUCUCUUGUAUCUCUUUACAUAAAAAUAUUUACAUGUUUGCAAACUCAAGUUGUCACAAAAAUGAUGGUUAAGCUAAGAUAAAUCAGUCUCUGCAAAACCCUAACUUUGCCGUGUUUUCUCAAUUCUCAUCAUCUGACUCAAAUCAACUGGCUAGUUAUAUCAAUGAAAGUGUCUUCGUCACAUGGGAUAGUAAGACCACCCAUUGGGUGAUUGAACCCGAACUCUUCUUCAGCUUGAUUUAACAAGGCAUGGAAUAAAGGAUGGUUUAAGUAUGAAAUUGGAACCACAAAUCGUUUCUUUUGAUUCUCUCCAACAUACACUGCAACAUGACCUUUUGGAACACUUGCGGUCUCGGAAUUUGAAAGAGACCGUCGAAGACCUUUCUUGAUCUUAGGAAUACCGGGUAAACGAAUAGCCAUGGAUGCUGGAAGAAUAACAAGCAAAAGACAGGAAGACUAAAGGGUGUCUUAGACUGAGAAAAUGUUUAUUGCCCUGGAGUUGGAUGGUUAUUGUGAGAUGAUAGAUAUGCAUAUAUAUAGAGAAGAACGGUAUUUGAAAAGUUCCUUCAUCAUGUGAAUAAUAAACAUUCGUAGGUCAAUUUCAGGGUCAUACCUUGCGAGGAAUCACAUGGUUUUGUUUAAUAUCUUUAAACUUAUUGUCUGGAUGAUCAUAUUGACCCAUUGUUUUAUGCAGAAACAACNNNNNNNNNNNNNNNNNNNNNNNNNNNNNNNNNNNNNNNNNNNNNNNNNNNNNNNNNNNNNNNNNNNNNNNNNNNNNNNNNNNNNNNNNNNNNNNNNNNNGAGACGAUGUUAUAAUUUUUUUAGUAUUAUUAAGUAAAAUACUUUCGUAAUACUAAAACUAUCUUUCUUGAAUCUAAUGAUCACCAAUCCCCCCCCCCCCAAAACGUACAUAAUUAGCAAUCCACCCAAAUCGAUUUACAGAAGAAAAAAAAUGAUAGUAAAAAUGAAAUUUAAAUAAAGAAGAUGAAAUUUGAGGAAGAAAUUUAAAAAAAAAAAAAAUCCUACAUACUUAUUUCCCUCGAUCACCCAUAAUUAUUUUUUUACUUGUUAGCUUCAAAAGAAUUCUUACUUGAAUAGAAAGUUAGGUUUAGAUUUAUUGAACAUGACCAAGUACGUAUAUUGCUUACUUUGGCAUAAGCCCAAGCUUAUUUUCAAACAAAACCAAGUUUAUUUGAAACAUAAAUGCAACCAGUUUCAAAUCAUGUUGAAACAAAAGAUCUCUUGAAACCAUGAUAAAGGGUAUUAUGAAAGUUCUUCUUCUAAUUCAAUCAGUAGAUAACAUAGAUGGAUAAGAUGUUGACACACGUCCUUAUUAACAUCUGAAAGGCACCUUUGGUAUAUGAAAUUUUUUAAGGGGGUGGGUAUAUUUUUUCAAAUGGAAGGGUAACUCAAAUAUCGACUUUCAAGUGGGGUAAAUGCCAAAAUCUCAUAUAACUUGUGCAUACAAAUUCGAUUUACAUAGUAAAACUUUUCUUUUAGAAUCGUCAUAUUGUGAUUUCUCAAAGGCAAAAUAUUAUCUAAUGAUAUUUUCACCAUAAUUAUUUUCGACGGUAUUAAUCAUAAUUAUUUUCGACGGUAUUAAUCAUAAUACAAACAUUUUUGGUUUUCUUCAAUAUCCUAAAUUAAUAGCAACGAAAAUUGAUAACCUCAAAAUUCAACAAAACCCUCAAAAUUUGAACAGAUAGCAUUCAUAAUCAAACUAUGAUACACUCCAUGUAUCUAUAGUUGGACUGCAUUUGGAGAAUGGGUGCUAUAGAGCCAUAGAGGUCACACAAAAUAUGAUAAUCUCAAGUGAAAUGACAAACUCAUGAACUCGGGAAAAUAAUAAUAAAAAAAAAAACUGUGGAUGUUAAAAAGUUCAAAUGGAGGCCCAAUUUUAACCGAAAUGUAUCCAUAAAUCGGGCCUAAGUUGGACUUAUUGUAUCUGCUAGGCCUUUUCAUGUUCAGUUGGACAAGUUUCUUGUACAGUGAGCUAUUUGCUUUAAGCUUGUGAUAACUCUGACCACUAAGUUCCAUGUUGAUAGAGAUUAGAGAUUCCAACACAAAACUAAAUGCACCACAAAGACUACAAAACACAAUUUUGUCAGCAAUGAAAAACCAUAGAGAGCACGUGAACACAAUGUCUCUGCAGCGACAAAACGCUGAUGGCAUUGCAAGCUUCGUAUUGCUACGAACAAAACUGCCAGACUGGGCUUUGUUCUUACUUGUCACCUUUAUCUGUACACCUCAAACCAUAGUCAGAUUGCGGCAACGCGUCACCUUGCAUGAAAAUUUCUUUUGACACGUUGAGCUCUCAAUAUCCACGUGUUCAUCUGCAUGAAAUUUUAUACUAACAAGUGUUCAAGUACGUACUUGUGUAGUUCUGUUCUCACCAACUUUUCUCACACUAUAAAAUCUCAUAUCCAUAGCAUCACUUAUCCUCAUCAAAAAACGUUUCACAAGUUUUCAAACAAGUUCAUCACCAUGGCGUUUAGAAAUAAGCUUUCUUUCUUUGUGUUUGUUUUGUUUGUUUUUCUUGUUUCUGCAACUUUCUCUUUAGCUGAUGAGAAAGAGGAUCUUGAUCAGCUGCUUAGAAAAUGUAAGCAACAAUGUAGAACUCAACCAGGCCUUGAUAAGCAAGAACACCAAAAGUGUGAGCGUGAUUGUGAAGAGUAUGUUAAAGUGAGACAAAGGCAGCAGGAAGAAGGGCAAGGUGGUAAACAAGGAGAUGGUCUUCAAAGCGAUCGUUACAAAGAUUGCGUAGAUUUUUGCUAUCGUUGGCCAAAAAGUGCGCAGCUGCAACACUGUCUUGAAACUUGCGAACAAGUCGCUGGUGCUGUGAUUGAGAAGUUUUUGAACACUGAGGAAAGAGAAGAUCCUCAAAGAGAGUAUGAAAAAUGUCAACAAGGGUGUCAAGAACGCCGAUGGAGUCAAGAGAGAGUGAGAAGCUGCUUGAAAGAAUGCGAUGAACAUAGGAAGCAAAGAGAACAAGAACAAGGCGGACGAGGGGGACAAGAGCAGGGUGGACAAAGUGAAGAAAAGGGACGGCAAGGCAAGGGUGGACAAAGUGAAGAAGAGGGACAACAAGGCGGCAGACAAGAGCAGGGUAGACAAAGUGAAGAAGAUGAAAACCCUUACUUGUUCCACCAACAGAAGUUCAGCUCACAUAUCAAGAGCCAACAAGGAAAGGUUCAGCUUCUUGAGAAAUUCAACAAGCGGUCAGAUCUUCUCCAAGGGAUUGAGAACUAUCGAAUUUCAUACCUCGAGGCAAAUCCUAGUACCUUCGCUGUUCCUAACCAUGUCAAUGCAGAGACCAUUUUCUUUGUUCUUAGUGGUAAGAUAAUUAUUAAUCAGGAUCGGAAUAUAUAAUAUAUUUUCAAUUAACACGCCUGAUUAUUGAUAUCCAUGUGUUUUAUUAUGUGAUUUUAAUUAAUUAAUUCAUUGCAGGACAAGGAACAAUCACCCUUCUACAAGAGAACAAUAGAGAAACUCAUAAUCUAGAACGUGGAGAUAUUAUUAUGGUUCGUGCAGGCACCAUUCUGUCCUUCGUCAAUAGGGACAACAAGGAGAAACUUCGAGUCGCAAGUCUUCUCCAACCUGAUAACGUUCCUGGCGAUGUUAAGGUAAUACAAAUAUACAAUACCACCAUUUUAUUGAACUUAUCUUUAAUUUCCCUUGAAGUGAUGUAAAUGUAACUGAUGAUGUGUUCUUGCUUUUUUUUUUUUUUUUCCUGUCAUGAUGUAGGCUUUCGUUGGUGCUGGAGGCAGAGACCCUGAAUCAUAUUACAACACCUUCAGCAAUGAAAUCCUUGAAGCAGCUUUCAAUGUACACAAAUGAUCUCCUCUGUAUAUAUUUCCCUAUGAUUUUAGUUAAAUUAUGAUUCUAGAUUCAGAUUCUAAAUUAGACGUUAUUUUGGAUUGAUAAUGCAGGUUAAAGGUGAUCAACUGAGGAAAUUAUUUGAGGGACAGAACAAAGGAGUAUUUCUAAAAGCAUCUCAAGAACAGAUUAAAGCAUUGAGUAGAGAUGAAUCAUCAGAACAUGGUACUGGCGGUCCAUGGCCUUUUGUUCACGGCAAAUCACAAUCUAACAAACCAUACAACAUGUUCAAUAAAGAACGUCUAUCUCAAUCAAAUCAGUAUGGUAAAUUUUAUGUAGUCAGCCAAGAUGAUUACAAAAUGCUUCAAGAACUUGAUGUUCAACUCUCUUAUGCAAACAUCACUAAAGGAGCCAUGAUUGGUCCAUAUUACAACUCAAGGUCAACCAAGAUUGCCAUGGUAGUCAACGGCAAUGGUUACAUUGAAAUGGCAUGUCCACACAUAAGUCAACAACAACAACAACAAGGCCAAGGUCAAGGUCGACGCCAACAAGGCAGCCAGCAAGGAGAAAAAGGACAGCGUGGCAGUACCUCUACUUAUCAAAAAAUGAGUGGACGUAUCAGUCGUGGCGAUGUUUACGUGACUCCAGCUGGACACCCUUUUGUAGCCGUUGCAUCAAAUGAUGAGAAUCUCGAGGUAGUAAUGUUUGAGAUCAAUGCUCGAUACAAUCACAGGUAUCAACUUGCAGGGAAAAACAAUAUAUUGAAGCAAUUAGAGAAAGAAGCAAAGGAGUUGAGCUUUAAUGUUCCAGCAAAACAAGUUGAGGAAAUCUUGAACAAGCAACAAGGGUCAUUGUUCUACCCUGGACCUAAACAACAACAACAACAACAAGGUGGUCAUGCUGAUGCAUAGAUUCACUAACCAAGUGUUUUAUAUGCAUGCAUGCAGGGUUUUGUUGAGUAGGUGGUUUCUGUUUUGUUGAGUGAGGCUUUGAAAGAAGUUUUAGAGAGUUGUGUGUGUGGUUUGCUAUUAUAAAGUAAUAGCAUGUAUAUGAUGUAUGUAUACUUAGUACUAUUAUAAUAAUAAAAAGAAGCCACCUUGACUUUUGAAUUCACUUAAUUUUAAUGUUUGAAGUGUAUUUCUUUCUUAGAAAUCCCAUUUUAUGAUUUAGAUAAUGCUGGACAAGUGUUUGAUGAAAUUGAGAGGGAAUGAUAUUGUUGUUUGGGAAUGCAAUGAUAUAAGCAUGUUUGGUACGGGAACAAGAUACAUGGGUAGGCGAUCAAAGGAUAUGGAGGUAGAAGUGCAGAAUGUGGGUGAAUGAAUGUUGCAAGCAAUGUGUUUGAAGAAAUGACUGCCAGGAACAUUGGUGUGGAAAUCAUUGAGAGUUUUGUUUUUCACAAAAUGGGUGUGGUGCCAGGUAACUGAGCUUUCCUUACUUGUCAAAAGUUGUGCUCAGGCAAAAUUUGAGCAUCAGAGGUGUAUGAUGGACGUGCUUAGUUGUGAUAAGGUGUAUGAUGGACGUGCUUAGUUGUGAUAAGGAUGGAGUUUUGAGACUAAUGAGGGGCUCUAUUUAGGUGCUUGCAUUAUUCAAGGUUAUGAUGCUGAAAUAGGUGAGUGGGUUUCAAAAGCCUCCAGGAUGUAGCAUGAUCGAGUGGUGCAAAGUUGUUAUAGAUGAGACCAACUAGUUUUUGGGAGAGCUGAAUUCUGUUUUUCUGUCUAAUUAAAGAGGGAAAUCGAUUCGCAGUUAAGGUAUGGCUGUAAAAUACUGGCGGUCCAUAUUACAACUCCAGAUCAACCAAGAUUGCCAUGGUGGUUAACGGUAAUGGUUACAUUGAAAUGGCAUGUCCACACCUAAGUCAACAACAAUAAGGCCAAGGCCAACAAGGCAGCCAGCAAGGAGAAAAAGGACAGCGUGGCAGUACCUCAUAUCAAAAAAGGACAGCUUGGCAGUACCUCAUAUCAAAAAAUGAGUGGACGUAUCAGUCGUGGCGAUGUUUAAGUGACUCCAGCUGGACACCCCUUUGUAGCCGUUGCAUCAAAUGAUGAGAAUCUCGAGAUAGUAAUGUUUGAGAUUAAUGCUCGAAACAAUCAGAGAUAUCAACUUGCAGGGAGCCAGGGAAAAACAAUAUAUUGAAGCAAUUAGAGAAACAAGCAAAGGAGUUGAGCUUUAAUGUACCAGCAAGACAAGUAGAGGAAAUCUUGAACAAGCAACAAGAAUCUUGGUUCUACCCUGGACCUAAACAGCAACAGCACCAGCAACAAGGUGGUGGUGGUCAUGCUGAUGCGUAGAUUCACUACUGAAGUGUUUAUAUGCGUGCAGGGUUUUUGAUGAGUGGGUGGUUUCUCUUUUACGAUUACUGAGGCUUUGAAGGAAGUGUUGCUUGUAGAGAGUUGUGUCUUUUGUGUGGUUUACUAUUAAGUAACUUGAUGUACAUUCUGACUUGCAAUAACCUUAGAAGCAUUAAUUGUUACUUUCAAUUGAGCGGGAAAAUGAUCGAUGAAAUUUAACUUUUUUUAUAUUAUAUCAAUUGAGAGGGCCAUGAAGUUCGUCGUGAAAGUUUCCAAACGUCUAGUGCCUUUUGGACCUUUUUUUGAUAAUCUCAUCGAAAAUUCUAGUUCGGGGGGAAUUAAAAAUAAAUGUGUUAAUUUCAAAUCGAAAAUGUCGAAAAUUUCGUAAAUUUUGGUUUUUGCCGAAUAUUUCGUGAAUAUCCGAUAAAUUCCGAACGGCAUGGGGUGUUUUAAAUUUCGUUUAUAUAUCGUAUGCCGUACCGAUCCGAAUAGCCAAAAAAACGGAAUAUUUCGAGAAUAUCCGGGCGGCAAAUUCGAUUUUUUCACCUAUGAUGUAUACUACCUAUAUAUGAUUAUAAUAAUGGAAAGAAGCCACCUCGACCGGCCUUUUGGAUUACAUUCUGUUCGCAAAUGUGUGUAUGCGCCAUUCUGUUUUGUUUUAAGUUCAAAUUCUCACUAAUAUUAACCCAUUAGAUGAUAUGAGGAGUGUUGAUGAGUUGAUCAGAUCAAAGAUCUAGCUUCUAUCUAAACAAAACCCCAUUUUAUGAUUUAGAUAAUGCUUGGGGUCUUGGGGAGCCAAGAACGUUGCAAGAAAUGACUGACAUGAACUCAUAAGGAUUAGCUGGUUUUUGGCGGAAUCAGAAUGGGCUUCAAUUCUGACCUUUGAUAUAUACUACUCCGACAGACUUGUGCUCUUGCAAGGUGAAUUUGUUGCACUUGCACUUGAAGAUUUUACAUAACGGGGUGGAGUGUGUGAGUGGCUUCUGUAAUGGUUGGGGUUAGAACUUAAAUCACAGUUGCUGGCAUUAGUACUGUUAUAGUUUUUAACUAUGUUUUUGGCAUUUUGGGUACUCUAGCUUUAAUUUUCAGGAUCUCUCCCAUCCUUUUCUUCUAUCCAAUAUAUAAUUUGUGCACAUACUCAAUCUCUACUAUAUCGAUGGGGAAAUUAAAUGUUUGGCGAGCAGUAAUGUACUAAUAUUGAACCCAUGCACAUGUACAAAGUAAAGCCUACAGAGAAUCAGCUAGACGAAGUUUAACCAACUACACUGUAUUAACCUAUUUCUAGAUUAAUGCAUCAACAGGGUCAGGUCGUUAUGGAGACUUGACCAAAUGGGGAUAUUGGAGAUUGGGGUGGCUGCACCUCGUUGAGAUCGAGAUUGCCUACGUACUCUAGCUCGGGGGAAUUGAACUUAGAGAUCAAGCCAUCGUAGUUCUGUUUAUAUAGAAGAUGGAAGGGCGUGGAUCGUGGAUCUUGCAGAUUCUCCGCCAUCAUAAUGAUGAUUAAAUGUGUAACGCGCGAGGAUCAUCCCUGUGAAUUAAUUCUGUAACUGAUGAGAAUAUUCUGUGCAUUGAAUAGGAGCACGUGUGAAUAGCAGGUCGCUGGUCGUUGCGUAGUCUGGUCGCUUUAGUCGAGCUGCGAGUGGGUAGAGAUCGUGGCGACCUGACGGAUGGAUGACUGUGCCACGUGGCUGCUUUUGAUUGGUCGGAGUAUGUAGUACCCCUAUAUAAGCCCCCUCUUUUUAGGUCGACUAUGGGAGUCGGGCUGAAAAGACUAAUUACUCUUAUCGAUGCUGAUUUGUAGUUCACCUUUUUGAAGUUGCUGACGUGGCAGUCAUGCAGCGCUGUCUGUGGUAAUCAUGGCGCUGUUACGGGGAAGUGGAGGAGUUUCCUCGAGCAGUUAGUUGUGUGAUUAUGGCAACUGACGCACGUAUUGCCCGAUUUGCUAUCUGUCUUGCACGUGGAUUUAUCCAACGGUGGAUGUGAACCGUUGCGUGAGUGGAGAAUGACUGUACUGCAUAUGGAUCCUUUUGUCGAUCUCAGCCGUUCGUUUGUUUCGAAUCGAUGGCUAGAAAUUCUCGAGCUACAGUAUAUAAAGUGUAGUUACGUUGAUAAGGGUUUACUCAUCUUGCCUUUAUUUGAAUUGCUGCCGCUUUUGCCUUGCGAACUGAAGAACUUUGAGAGCUCGUGAGGUUUGUUCUCUUUUCUUUUCUCUGAUUGUUUAUUUUCUUUCUUUUUCUUCUUCUGCUGUCUUCUGUAUUGCUUGAGAGUAAUGUCUGAGGGUAGUGAUUCUCAAAAUGACCACUUGAGUGAUGGUGGAGUUGAAGAGUAUGAGUCUGAGAGUACUCAUUCUGACCCUCCGUCUCCCGUUCCCGAUGAGAAUGUAGAUAGCCCCCAGAGUAGUGGUUCUCAUGGUCCAGAUUCUUCUGAUGAUGAGAUGGUUGAAGAUGAUAAUGGUAGAAUGUGUAGGAUUGUGAAUAUGAAUUAUGUACAUAGGCAUUUUGCUGUUAGGAGUCAUUACAAGUUUAGCUCGAUUAGGAAUUUAGAGAUAAGGUUUCUUGGGGACCGCUUACUUUCUCCUGACUACCGACCUAAUAAUCCUUCAUCAACUGUAUUGACGUUGAACCAAUUCCGUGCUGGCUUGAGGUUGCCGUUGUCUGAAUUGGUUGUCGACCUGUUGAAUGCCAUUAGGCGAGCCCCCUGUCAGAUGAAUGGUAAUUUCUGGCGGAACAUGAGGGUAAUUGACGACCUCAACAAGUUGCAUAGGUGGAACAUUACAGCGGAAGAUGUAUUGAACCACUUUUGCUUCAAACGCUCUUCGAAGGUUGAACUUUCUGGCUAUAACAUGCAGGUUAGGCCAGAACGUUUGCCUUUGAUUUAUCCAGUGAGUAGCGAGCCAUGGUGGAAAGAUCCCAUGCUAUUCACUGGGCCGAUUGUUGAAGGGGAUGUCCAGUUGCGUCAUACGAUUAGGAAUGAUGAUCGUAAGUUAGUUGUCUGUAGUUUGAUGAUAGUUCGUCUUCCUGUUUCUGAACUUGAUGUCUUUGUAUUUUUUGCUGCAGCGAUUCGGGACGAUCAUCUUAGAAAAAACGAUCUGCAGUCUGCUCUGAACUGCUUUGGUAAGUUGACUGACGAGCGGAAGAUCUCGUUUCUGCCUCACCUAAAGGAGCAUUUCAUUCCUAAAGGUGGUCCAAAAACUGUGUUGGAAGAGCUCAAGAGGAGGAAAGCUUUGAAGAAAGUAUACAUGUCUUCUGUGCACAAAGCGAGUGGUGGGCGAACUGGUGGUAGUUCGCGAGCUGGUGAAGGAGAACGAGCAAGUGGUAGCUCGAAGCAAGCUGAAAGAGAGCGUUCUGUUGGUGCUCCUAGGAGGUCGGAAAAGGAACGACCUGUUGGUGCUCCUAGGAGGUCGGAAAAGGAACGACCUGUUGAGAAGGAUCGACCUGCGGUGCAGGAACGAUCUGUGGAGAGGGAGCUGCCUGCUGAGAAGGAGCGAGCUGUAGGUAGCUCUCGCCAGGCUGGAGUCGUGGCGAGCCCUCCAGUCUCAGGUCCACCCCCCUCACUUCCUAAGGUGGGUGCAUUGGCUGGGAAGAAGAGGUCCUUCUCAGGGAACCUUAAGCUGAUGGAGUUCCCAGCUAUGCCAACUCCUGUUUCUUCAAUUGUUGCGACGUCUCCUGGAAUGUCUGUGAUGUCCAGGAAGACUGCUGUUCGGCCUUCGCAGAAAGGCAAAGGUAUUCUGUCUGAAUUCCGCCCUGGGCCGUUCGAUUACUUGGACGGGCAAGGAGAGAAGCAUGUCGUGUACGACAACGACAGUGCUAUUGAUGACCCUUGUGUUGCCCGGGCUGUGAAUGAGGGUAUCGUACUGGAUGCUGAUGCCCGAAUGGUGAAGUCGCAGCCUUUGUUGGUGACCUGCUCAAAGAUAAACGGGGCACUUUCUUUGGUGAGUUUGAUCGUAAGUCGCAUUUGUUUUGAUUAUGCUUUGGUAUUUGUGCUAAAUGUCGUUUGGUGGUUACAGCUCAAUGCCAGCUUCCAGGAGGUGCGUCUGGUUGCUGAGAUUGGUGCUCAGGCUGAAAUUGAGAUGAAGGCUCUCAAUGAGAAGCUCGAGCAGGCGAGGAACAUUGCUGUCGUUGCUGAGUGUAAGGUCAAGGACAGGGAUGCCCAGGUCGCAGCUUUGAAGGAACAGUUGAGGGAACGUGAGGCUGCUUCCCAAUCUGCUGUUGAGUACUGGCAGAGGGUUUGUCAGGAGAAUGAAGCAGCGUGGAAGGCGUACUGCGAGCAGCUGGUCAAAGCUAUGACGGGAUCGCCCGAAGGAGAGGAGACGCGAGGUGGUGUUGAAGAGACUUCGGCGCCAGCUCAGGACAACUCGAUGGGCCCUAGUGACCAGGUCGCUGGAGCCCUUAUUGAAGCUGAUGCUUCAGGCGACCAGUCUGUGCAGCAAUGAGCUCGCCUUGGUUUCCCUUUCUUGUAUUGGGUAACCUUGUUUUCCCUUUCUUGUAUUGGGUAACCUUGGUUUCCCUUUCUUGUAUUGGGUAACCUUGUUUUCCCUUUCUUGUAUUGGGUAACCUUGUGCAAGGUUUGCUUCCUGCACUCAUUGUUGUUGCAGUAUGUCUUCCAUAGCCAAUUGUUGAGAGCCCCCCUUGUAAUCUUUGAGAGCUUGAUUGGAGAACUUCUUGUCUUUUGUAUUUGGAGUCAGUAAUCAGUUUUUACUUUGAUGAGAUUUGUAUGGAUUCCUUUUGGCCAGCUAGUUUCCAGGAAGUCCUGGUAGCUCGUUCAGAAGGCAGGUAGACGAGAUGAAUGGCUGCAAGUAGGACGCACUGAAACAGUUCCUCUUGUAUGCCUUGAUUCUAUUUUGGUUGUACCUGUAAUUGUUAAAAUCUCAUAAAGUAAAAGUUAAUUCAACUAUUUACCUUGCAUUGUUGAUUAUGUCGUUUUGUCUGCUUGAAUGGACUUGCAAACAAUAUGUGACAUUUGGUCGACCUGAUCGGGGGUUGAGGUCGCAUUUAACAUAAUUGUGCUUGGGUCGUGGGAAGAGAAAGACCAAUGCACCAAGUUAAGUUGCUAGUGAUUUAACUUAACAAAUUUUUAAAUUAUCAAAGGGACUAGAUUAUUGAUAAUUUGUAGGUCGAGGGAUUGGACCUUUAGUAGCCAUUCAUGUUUGAGCAGAGAUGAAGGCAAAAUUGAAUUUAUAGAUUGAAAUGUAAUGAAUGGAUGCUUACAUUUCACUGAUAAAAUUUCUUUAAAUGGAAAGCAUUCCACGGGUUCUUAACGAUCUCCCCUUCUGGUGUCUGAAGACGAUAAGAACCGUUGCUCUGGACUUUUGUGAUAAUGUAAGGACCUUCCCAAUUGGCGUUGAGUUUGCCGAUAGUGUCCUUUCUUUUGUUACUGAACAUUCUUCUUAAGACUAAUUCCCCUGGCUGGAAAGUUCUUGGUCGCACGCCUUUGUUAUAAGCUCGCUUGAGUCUCUGUUGGUAUUGCUCGAGCUUUAUAGUGGCGUGGUUACGUCGCUCUUCAAGGAGGUCGACACCAAACGACCAGAUCUGAUUGUUGAGCUCGGUGUCGACCAAAAGAGACUUGGUCGUUCCAAAUGUUAAUUCAGUGGGAAUAACAGCCUCAACUCCAUAGCAGAGACUGAAUGGUGACAUCCCUGUGGAUGUGCGAGGAGUUGUCCUAUAAGCCCAUAGGAUGUUCUCCAACUGUUGUGGCCAUUGAUCAUGCUGGUCUUCGAGCUUCUUCUUCAAAUUGGUUAGAAUCUGUCGAUUUGCAGCUUCAACCUGGCCGUUGGCUUGCGGGUACCUAGGAGUUGACCUUGAAUGCUCGAUUUUCCAGAGGUCGUAGAAUUUUUUGAUAUUCUUCCCAACGAACUGAGUGCCAUUGUCUGUGACUACUCGUUUAGGUAGCCCGAACCUUGUGAUGAUAUUUUCCCACAUAAAUCUUUGGACAUCUGCCUGUGUAACAUUGGUUAAGGCAACAGCUUCCACCCAUUUAGUGAAAUAGUCGACGGCUACUAGAACGAACCUCUUUUCAGACUUCUUUUCCUUGAUGAGGGGACCCAUGAUAUCAAGCCCCCACAUGUGGAAUGGCCAUGGUGCAGUGAUGUUGAUGAGAUCAUUUGGAUGCUGGUGUUGCUUAUCAGCAAAUCGCUGGCAUUCUUUACACUUCAAAACAAAUUUCUUUGCAUCUUCCUUCAUUCUUGGCCAGAAGUAUCCUUGAGAGAUUGCUUUAUGGGCUAAGGUACGCCCACCAGAAUGGUUUCCACAUUCACCUUCGUGGAUUUCUUCAAAUAUCAUCUGACCUUGCUUUGGGACCAAGCAUCGUAAUAACAAUCCAGUUGCUGAUUUCCUGAAAAGUUUGCCCUCAUGGAUUUUGUACAUUGUGACUUUAUGCAGCAAUCGACUGGCUUCCUUUUUGUCAGAAGGUAGGACACCAGUUUGCAAGUAAACCAUGAAAGGCUCGAUCCAAGUCCCCUGGAUGUCUGCCGGAGUUGUUUCAAGCAGAUCGGAAAUUUGAUGAAUAUCUUCUUCCUUGAAGAGAUAUGCGGGCUGCGAGUUGAUUGCUAUAGUUAGGGCCCGCGGUCUGUCUGAAUCGAUCUUAGACGCUAGAAAUGCCAGUGAGUCAGCAUGCCUGUUGUCAUCUCUGGGUAUGUGUUCAAUUGUGAAAUAGCUGAGCUUGCUGAUGAGCUCCUUUGCUUUGCUAGCAUACCUGAUGAGGUUGACCCCAUUGAUCUGGUAAUUGCUGGUAAUCUGAUUGACUACCAGCUGUGAGUCGCUGUACACCUUGAGACGAACUGCUUGCAAGUCGAUGGCCAUUUUUAAGCCUUGUAUUAGUGCUUCGUAUUCGGCCUCGUUGUUUGAGGUCGAAAAGUCCAGACGAGUUGCUCUUUCGAGCUGUGAGCCUUCAGGAGAGAUUAGCACACUACCUAUUCUACUUCCAUUGGAAUUGUGGGAACCAUCUACAUACAGCUGCCAAGUAUCUGGGGGGUUGUCUUGGACUUGCCUUGUUUCAGGUUCAGGUUCCCAAUUGACAUCUUCUGCUGGAUAGUCUACCAAAAAUUCUGCAACGACCUGACCCUUGACGGCCUGUCUUGAAACGAACUCGAAAGUGUAAUCACCCAGCUCGGCUGCCCAUCGAGCCAUACGACCUGUUUUGUUUUUCUUUUCUAGUAUGUGGCGUAAUGGCUGAUCGGUGAUUACUUUUACAGUGUGUGCUUGGAAAUAAGGCUUGAAUUUGCAUGCAGCGUAAAGUAAUGCUAAUGCUAACUUCUCCAGAGGUGUGUACCUUAUUUCAGCCUGCUGUAAGACUUUGCUUGUGAAGUAGAUAGGUCGUUCCACUUGAUUUUCUUCUUUGAAAAGUACUGCGCUUAUCGCAAAAUCUGAUGUUGCGAGGUAAACGCCAAGUAUAUCACCAUCUAUUGGUCUUGUAAGAACUGGUGGAGUAGACAGAUAUGCCUUGAGAUCAUCGAAGGCUUUCUCGCACUCUUCUGUCCACUCAUAUGUAGCCCCCUUCUUUAAGAUAUGAAGCAUUGGUCUACAUUUGUCUGAUGCUCUGGAGAUGAAUCUGUUCAGAGCUGAAACCAUGCCGUUGAGCUUCUGGAUUUGUUUCUUUGUUUUUGGACUUGGCAUGUCGAUCAGGGCUCUGAUCUGGUCGGGAUUUGCUUCGAUGCCUCGUCUGGUGACUAAGUAGCCUAGGAAUUUUCCUGAUGCGACCCCGAACAGACACUUUUCUGGAUUAAGACGCAUUCUGUAUUGCCUUAAUCUUUGGAAUGCCUGGUCAAGGUUGUACAAAUGAUCUCGUUCUUUGUCGCUCUUCACUAGCAUGUCAUCAAUGUAGACUUCCAUUGUUCGACCUAGGAGGUCGUCGAACAUUCUGGUGACCAGUCUUUGGUAGGUCGCCCCUGCAUUUCUUAGCCCGAAUGGCAUGACUUUGUAACAGAAAAUACCUUGCUCAGUUGUGAAAGAGGUCUUUUCUUGAUCAGGCUCGUACAUUGGGAUCUGAUUAUACCCUGAGUAUGCGUCCAUGAAUGACAGUAGCUCAAAACCGCAUGUCUGAUCGACUAGCCUAUCGAUUCGUGGCAGUGGGAAUGAAUCUUUAGGACAAGCUUUAUUCAAGCUUGUGAAGUCGAUGCAGACCCUUGUUUUUCCAUUCUUCUUUAGGACUGGGACUAUGUUGGCUAGCCAGUCUGGAGUAUCGACUUCUCUGAUGAAGCCGACCUGUUUGAGUCUAUUGAUCUCUUCAUUGACGGCUUCGUGAAACUUGAGAGCAAGUCUCCUUGGUUUCUGCUUCACAGGUCGAUAAUUGGGAUUGACCCGUAGCCUAUGGCAUGCAAUUGAUGGAUCUAUUCCGGGCAUAUCGAUAUACGACCAAGCAAAAACAUCUUUAUUCAUUGAAAGAAAAUUUACAAAAUGAGCGAACUUAUCUUCUUCCAUUUCUGAACCUACAUAGACAUACCUUGGGUCCUCAUCUGACCCAAUGUUAACUCGGACGCCUGGAUCGGUGCUUCCGAGACUCAGCUUGGGGGAGCUCGCUUGCUCCUUCUGUAAUUGCUAUUUAGCAGGUUCAGCUUUUUCCUUGGAUGGGCUCUUUGACUUGUUGCCCUCCUGAGCCUCUGUUGGGACUAGGCUCUUUCCUUUGACAUCACCAUCCUUGACUCCAGAGGUGGAUGGCUUUGACGAUGGGACAGCUUCAAUAACACCGUGGCAUUCUUGUGCGGUGUUCUGAUUGCCGCGGAGUUCCAUUAUCCCAUAAGGGCCGGGAUAGCGGAAUACCUGAUGGUAAGUUGACGGCACUCCUCUCAUAGCAUGGAUCCACUUUCGACCCAGAAUCGCAUUGUACUUGCUUGCGAUAUUCAGGACGCUGAACUUGCUGGUUACAACGACCUUAUCUUCCCUUCUGCCUACAGUGACGGGCAGAAGGAUCUCCCCCUUAGGGUCUUCCCUUGAACUAUUGAAGCCAAGGAUCGGUGUGAAGUCUGGGAUGAGCACUGAAUCGGGCAGCCUCAUGUCCUUGAAGGUUCGGUACAUGAGAAUGUUACAUGAAGCUCCAGGGUCAAUGAAUACCCUCUUGAUUGUGUAAUCCGCAAUUCUGAGUUCAACGACUAGGGCGUCGUUGUGCGGAGUAACGACCUUAUUGAGAUCGUCUUCAGUGAAGGUGAUGUCAGUCUCUUGCCGGGCAGGGAUGUUGAAGCGAGCUGCUCGGCCACUGAUAGCGUAGACAUGGUGGAGAUGUUCCACUCGCCUCUUUUUGUCCCUAGAGACAGGGGUGUGAUGAGAUUCGUCAAUCAUGUAGACCACAUGACUGUCCGAGUCGCUGUCGAUGUCAACCUUGUUUGCGACCUUCUUGUUUAUAUGAUCGCGUAGGUCGCCUGUUGGACCUAAGCGCUGGGAGAGGCUACGCCCUCUGCUGCGUGCUGGGCUUGCGGAGGCCGCUCUGGCCUUGCUCUGACCCUGCUUUGGUGAACGAGGAGGGGUUCUGGAUUCCUUCCUCAUUCUCUUGCCUGUGGACUCCUCAUUCCUUCCGAGGAUCCAGUUGUUGAGCCUUUUCUCAUCGGCCCAGGUUUGAAGUGCGCGCUUCAGGACGCGACAGUCAUCAGUCUGAUGACACCGUACUUUAUGGACUUUGCAGUACGGGCGACCAGAUGUAUCCUCCAGCUGUGUGAAGGCAGGAAUUUUGCACCAAUGGUUGUGCUUGAUCCUUUCGAAGAUAUAACCGGCUGGUCGCGUAAACCGGUGAUACUCUCGCUGCUCGGUAGGCAGCGACUUAGCUUUGAACCUCUUUCCUUCUGAUCGAGGUCGUUUGCUUGAGCCAGCCUCAAUGUUGCUGACUACAUGGUUCUUCUCCCUCCCAGUGAGGGCUUCUUCUAGCUUAAUAUAACGAUCUACCUUUAGGUAGAGCUCGUCAAGUGAUGAAGGUCUCUUCAUUGCCAGAGACUUGUGCAGGUCGGACCCUUGGAUCAGUCCGUGAGAGAAAGCAAUAGUUGCAAAGGUCUCAUGCUCCUUUGCGAAAUCCUGAAUGGAAUGUAACUCAGAUUUAAAAUGUGCAAAGAAAACGCUAAGUGACUCACCAUCCUUCUGCUUGACUUUGAAGAUGGAGUCAAUGGUAACAGGGCGCUUCUUAUUGUGGAUGUAGAAGAUGACGAAUUGUUUUUCAAGCUCUGCAAACGAGCUGAUGGAUCCUGGCUUCAGUUGAUGAAACCAGUCGAGAGCUGGUCCAGUGAGGCUGGACUGAAACAGCAAACACAAAAGAUGAUCCUCCUUUAUCAGAGGAAGGGAUUUUCGGAAUCCCUUGACAUGGUCGGUUGGAUCUCCGACUCCUGCAUACUGGUCGAACUUUGGGGCAUUCAGCUUGUUCGGCAGAUCAUGUUCCAGGAUCUCGUUGGAGAAAGGAGACUCCUGGAAUUGUUGAAGGGACUGCACAGCAAGUUGCUCUGCAGUGUGGCUCUUGGACCGGUGAAGGAGAGCCUGAGAUGCUUUGAACUCCGCCAGCUGCUGGCUGAGUUGCUCGAACUUUUGGUUGGAAUCAUCAGCAGGGAUGACUCCAAGUCCGCUAUUUUCCCCUUGCUGAGGGUUGGUUUGAGCGGCUUUUAAACGCUCAUUUUCUUCCUGCAGACGUGUAAUUUGUGCCUGCAGAUCUUGGAUGGUGACUUCCUGAUUGGACAUUUGAUCGAGUGAUUUUUGAUUUAAGGGUGGGAGGGUUUUGGGUUUUCGAUUAUAUCGAAUUCCUUGCAGUCGGCGCCAAAUGUAUUAACCUAUUUCUAGAUUAAUGCAUCAACAGGGUCAGGUCGUUAUGGAGACUUGACCAAAUGGGGAUAUUGGAGAUUGGGGUGGCUGCACCUCGUUGAGAUCGAGAUUGCCUACGUACUCUAGCUCGGGGGAAUUGAACUUCGAGAUCAAGCCAUCGUAGUUCUGUUUAUAUAGAAGAUGGAAGGGCGUGGAUCGUGGAUCUUGCAGAUUCUCCGCCAUCAUAAUGAUGAUUAAAUGUGUAACGCGCGAGGAUCAUCCCUGUGAAUUAAUUCUGUAACUGAUGAGAAUAUUCUGUGCAUUGAAUAGGAGCACGUGUGAAUAGUAGGUCGCUGGUCGUUGCGUAGUCUGGUCGCUUUAGUCGAGCUGCGAGUGGGUAGAGAUCGUGGCGACCUGACGGAUGGAUGACUGUGCCACGUGGCUGCUUUUGAUUGGUCGGAGUAUGUAGUACCCCUACAAGCGUUUCUGUCCAAUCGCUACAUAGACACAAUACAAUGUUAAUCAUCGGAACCAAGAACGAGCUAAUCUCCAUCUCCAUAUUCGAGUCCAUCGACAGAAUCCACUGCUUCUUCCCCUGGCGAUUCACCGGAACCGAAGCAAUAAAAUGAACAUCCAUGUUAACUAUGCAGGCAUGCCUCUUUUUUUCUUCUGUUUCUUUUUUUCUUUUUGGUUAAGAAGUCUUAAUCUGAUAUUUGUAACUGAUUUCUAAUUCACAAAAACACUACAUUGAUGGAAGUUGCAUUUGCUCCAGUCUCCAACCCCCACUCGCCACAUUGAUCUGGUUUUGAAUAUUAGAUACAUCAAUCUAAACUAAGAAAAAUGCGAGCUGAGCCAGAACGGCAGACUUGGACAACAGGAGAUGUGGACACUAAUUGUUUUUUUUUUUUACUGGUUAUCUCGAGUGUUACUGGCUGCUACAGUAGGUUCAGACACUUGAAAUUGUGUUGGUUCCAAUCUUGACGAAGAAAAUUAUGAAAAAGCUAAAGUGCGUCAAGAAGUUGAAGAGGUCACAGAGUAGUGAUUGUAAAACCUAUGAAACUGGAGAAAGCCCAAGUGUAUUUGGUUCCCGGCCAGGUCUUAAGAAAGUUCAAGGGAGUGACCUCGAUGCUUAACAGUACAUUGGUUACAGUUCAGAUAAGAAGACUUGCCAACCCCUUCAUAAUGAAGGGUUACGGUAAUAUACCAACACAUUACUCUGGUUCAAAAGGUAAUAUACCAUAAGAUUUUGUCAUUAUGGCACUUAGUUCAUGGAGCACUUUGGUACGUACUUUUUAGAGCUGGGGAUGAGGACUGGACUGUAAUAGAAGAUCAAGAAUAUCAGAUCCUAAAUGGGGGUAGAUAACGCAGGAAGAGUUUGUAUUAAUUGUUGAUCCCAACACUUGAAAUGGGGACUCAAGUAGUCUAGUAGUAAAUUCUUUGGUUGAUGGUGGUUGGAAAAAAAAAUAUAAUGGAGAAUUGUUUCUGGUUGAUAUUUGUAGAUUUUAUGAUGGUGGACAACAAAUUCCAAAAAAUUACAUAUUGUACUGCACUACUGUGGCCAAACUUAUACCGACUGACUGCAAAGUGUUUAAGCUUGAUGAAAGGAAAGAACAUUGGGUUCAGGUAGGUAGUGGAUUUGGAAAAUGUAGUAGUGUUUCUGCAAAGUGUUCAAGUUUGAUGUAUUUUAUUUCGGCAUCAGACUUUGGAUGUACUGUACAUGUUUGCAAACUUGAACUCAGAUGAUGGUACUUUCCAAGAGUUACCAUUACCCAGCUUGGAUGCCGCCAUGCCGGUGAGCAGCAAUACACGACAGGGGGAGCAAAAGAGAUAAUUUUUUUCGUGUACAGUACUGGUCUAGUGGUCUUGCAUUAUUGUGGGAGUGUUCUGGCAGUAAUUUUCAUGAUGAUGCCUUGUCCAAAAUCCUUUAGAAAAUAUUGGGAAUUUGGGCCGGACCUUUUCAAUAAUUUCAUAUGAAAAAGGGCUUUGAGCCCAAUAUCCGCCUUAUUUUGACUAUACAAAGACUACUUUGACCUUAAAUGACGCGUACAUUAUUAUGGUUCGCGUACUCGUUACGCAAAGUUCUGCGUAUAAGUGUAUAACUAAAGUACCCGAUGUUUUCCUCUUUAUAAAUAAACCUACUACCUUCUCCCGAACUUUUUCUCUCUUGGUCUCUUUCUUGCUUCGGUUUCGUAUGAUUUUGGUGAAUCGAUGGUUCUGCGUACAAUGUGACCACUCGACCGAUCCUGAUAAUUAGUUGCAAGGCAAAGCCAUGUGAUCCUUCAUCAGGCAUGCUGCUAAACCAUCUUAUCAAGCAAUGAAAAUAAUUAAUCAUCAUUAAAUCAGAUUAGAUAACACGGCAGGUCGGCAGGUCGGCAGCCUCAGCAGUCAGGACCUUUUCAAUGUCAGCACACUUUAUCUUCAAUCUUCAUACUUAAGCAAAAUGAGAAAAUGAGGAUAUUGCAUAAACAUAUAUGUACUUUAAUUAUAUUCAAUGACUACAUUUUAAAUGGUUGUGAUUCAAUCAGCACGUAUCUGUAAAAUAAUCCAUUACACCUUAUGUGGGCUAAAGUUUCUAAAUGGCAGGUCAAAAUAUGUGCAACGUGACCUUUUGCAAUUCCCAUCUGGAUGAUGAGCACCGUACGUAGACAAACCAUGUGAGAAUCCAUAAGGGAUCCUAUUCAAUGUAGCCCUUGCAAAUGAUUCCCAUCCAUAUAUAUACAACUAUGAUAAUAAGGCUGCCUCACAUUCAGUUGUAUUUCGUAUCCAAUAACUUUCAAAGCUUUCUUUGUUUUUCAGCAUCUCUGCAAUACUCCACCAGACAAUGGGAACUUGUCUACCAGUUAUUUUUCAGGCCAAGCAAAUUAUUCGCCGGGUCAUUUUGGCUCCAAUUGCCACAGAUGUUCCAAAAGGACACUUUGCAGUUUAUGUAGGAGACAACCAAACCAAGAAGAAGCGAUAUAUAGUUCCAAUAGCAUAUUUAAACCAAGCUUCAUUCCAACAAUUGCUAAGCAAAGCUGAGGAAGAGUAUGGAUAUCAUCAUCCAACUGGUGGUCUCACAAUUCCAUGCAAUGAGGAUCUGUUCAUCAACCUCACUUCUAAGUUGAAUAGCACAUGAGAGAGGAGGGGCAAAGGGGACAUAAUAUGGUGGCAAAGAAAUCAGUUGAUGUUCCUCCCAAUAUUUUGUCACAUCAAACGACUUGCAAGAAAAAAUGUCUCCACAAUUUUGUAGAGUAGGAUUUAUAAAGAUUCAAAAUCAUGUGAAUAGAUGUUUUGUAUAUUAGAUGGUCAUUACAGGAUAUCCAUGUACAUUCUACUUAAAUGUAAUGGGUCAAGCAUGCAGUUUAAUUUGUAUGUAGGCUUCCUUUUAGUUUAGCAUGUUAUACUUACCGAUUAAUUCUUAAAGAGUAUCAGUUUGAUUACUUGAUGAUGCUUAAAUGAUUAAACAAUGAUUAGCAUCAACCAACAUCAGAAUUCUAUUAAACACUGAACCAUCUAUCCUAUUAAGCUUUUAGAUCUCAGAAGUGCCAUCCAUAUAUGUUAUCAACAAGGGUGACCUGUCGUAUAAUACUCUUGGUUGAACUCGUGUCCGGGAACAAGAUUUUUGACAACUUAAUUCCUGCAUAACAUAACAGGUUUUUUUUCUUUCAUUUUUCUUUUCAUGACAAGGGGACUUUUUCCAUAGGAAAAAAGAAGAGUAGAAAGUAGAAUCUUAAAGGAGUUUUGCAUACGUAUGUUCUGCAUAGAAUGCGGCAUUUAAGGUAGUUGCUACAAGAUCAAUACAGAUACACACACACUCACACACACAAAGACCUAAGAGUACGUUUUACCUGAGAGAUGAUGUAAGAGCCUGAAGUGCUUAGUACUCUGUGAGACUAUUUAUGGAGUGAACUGGUGCUGGUGGAUUUAUCUCGUCAUAACAAGAAGAGAACAGUACCGCAAAGAGAUGUCCUCUCAAUCUGCAAAUAGAUCAUUAGGGAGAUAAGCUUAUAUAAUAUUUCUUGUUACAAAAUCAAGGUUAUUUGAUAAGAAUGAAUAUCAUCACUGCAAGAUUAUCUUUAACACUGAUACAAAAAGAACUAGAGAUAAGGACAAAUAUGUAUAAGUUUGUUUUCAAAGAAGCGGGCACACAAAAAGCUACAUUUAUACUAUAGGAUUUCAACCAAAAAGAAGAAAAAGAAGUGCUCUCAAAUUCACAAAAGGCGAACCUAGUCAGUCUAAAUCAUCAGUUGCAUCCCAUGAUAAGAGAACUAUAAGUCAUACACCUAUUUUGUAAAAACUGUACUUAGAAAAGAAGAGUAGGAAUAGAAACAGCGGAAGAUAAGAGAAAUUGUUUCUAUUAUAUAAUGUUGUCAAAGGAGACAUUGUAAUCUCAGUCUCUUGUAUCUCUUUACAUAAAAAUAUUUACAUGUUUGCAAACUCAAGUUGUCACAAAAAUGAUGGUUAAGCUAAGAUAAAUCAGUCUCUGCAAAACCCUAACUUUGCCGUGUUUUCUCAAUUCUCAUCAUCUGACUCAAAUCAACUGGCUAGUUAUAUCAAUGAAAGUGUCUUCGUCACAUGGGAUAGUAAGACCACCCAUUGGGUGAUUGAACCCGAACUCUUCUUCAGCUUGAUUUAACAAGGCAUGGAAUAAAGGAUGGUUUAAGUAUGAAAUUGGAACCACAAAUCGUUUCUUUUGAUUCUCUCCAACAUACACUGCAACAUGACCUUUUGGAACACUUGCGGUCUCGGAAUUUGAAAGAGACCGUCGAAGACCUUUCUUGAUCUUAGGAAUACCGGGUAAACGAAUAGCCAUGGAUGCUGGAAGAAUAACAAGCAAAAGACAGGAAGACUAAAGGGUGUCUUAGACUGAGAAAAUGUUUAUUGCCCUGGAGUUGGAUGGUUAUUGUGAGAUGAUAGAUAUGCAUAUAUAUAGAGAAGAACGGUAUUUGAAAAGUUCCUUCAUCAUGUGAAUAAUAAACAUUCGUAGGUCAAUUUCAGGGUCAUACCUUGCGAGGAAUCACAUGGUUUUGUUUAAUAUCUUUAAACUUAUUGUCUGGAUGAUCAUAUUGACCCAUUGUUUUAUUGCAGAAACAACACGCCCUACCACCCAAAAGAAAGGAAAAUCAAUGCUAAAUUAUGGUAAAUAUGAAUCUAUACAAUAUUUGUGGUCAAGUAAGAGUGAUUAUGUGGUAUACCCAUAUUCUUAUUUAAUCAAACAAUGAAUUAGAUUAACUCCAGAUAUACGGUGACAGUUCAUCUGUUGCCACUAGAAACACACAUUAUUUUUGUGAGGACCAGUACAUAAUGUUUCCACAAAUGAUAGAUCGCAGUGCCUGGAAACAUAGAACACAAAUAUGACCACUUGACUAAUCUUGAUAAUUAGUUAGUUGCAAGGCAAAGCCAUGUGAUCCUUCAAGAGGAAUGUCGUUGAACCAGUCUAUCGUAGAAAUGGAAAAAAUUCUUCAUUAUUAAGUCCACAUUUGACUAGACUAGCUCCUAAAAAAUCAAUGACCCUUUUUCAAUUUCAACACAACUUUAUAAUGAAAAAUUAUAAAUCAUUGAACAAAUCAAAAAUUAGUAUUCUAUAACUUGUUUAGAAAAAUGUAAAUCAAAGAACGAAUUAAUAAUUAAAUUCAAUUAAAAGAACAUUUCAAUUAGAAAGAUCAUCAAUUAGUAAUUUUUUAUUUUUUUUUCAAUAUAAACAAAUAAAUUAAAAAUAUAGAAAGCAUGGAGAGAAUUAAUGCAAAUAAAAAGGAGGUUAGGUUAUUACCUAGCUGAUCUUAUGAAGAAACUCUACACUGAGAAAAUUGAAACAAGUAUAAACUAUAAACCCUACACGAUGAAGAAGAAGAGCAGAGAACCACAUUGUUUGGCGGGAACGAAGCAAAAACCCUAAUUCAGAGCUUUGAACAGUGAUCACAGUGUACCAUUUUUCUAGCGGGAACGAGUAAAUGGGCUUUUGAUAGCAUUAUCCAUGGGCCUGUUUGUUAUGGUUUGUAGUUUAUAUACUUUAUUGGAAAAAAAAAAAAAAACUGAACUGAACUGAACUCAUCAAGGUUCUCUUUUCUGUAAAAAAGAAGGUACUUUUUUCUAAUCUAGCUAGCUUUAAUGUUUUCUAGGUUAAUAUGCAUUUGUUUACUUCAAAUAUUUUAUAUUAAUUUUUUCUUGAAAUUGUCAAUUAUGCAUUUCUGUGAUUUGAAGUUUCAUAGUUUGAAACACAGGAUCCUUUGUUGUUAUUAUUAUUUUUUUUUAUUUAUUUUGGGUGGUAUUAUUGUCUUGUUCUUGAGUUUAUUUCAUGUCCUAAUUCCUAAACUAUUAAUAAAUUGAAAAAAAAAGAAAAAAAGAAGAAGAAGAAGGCUUAAAGAGUUUAAUUGAUUACAAUGUGUGCUGAAUUAGUACUUAAAAACUUGCUGCAUUCUCAUCAACAUUGCAAGUUGAGUCAUGAUUUUGAUGGCUUGGUUAGCUGCGCAAGGAAGUUUCUUAUAUAUGCAGAAAUAAAAAUUAUGGAUGAUUGUAAAAAAAAAAAAAAACAUAAAUGAGUUGCUUGUUAUAAUAGGAAACCAAGAGUAGUAGAAACAAGUGAUAUGGCGAUUUUGUGGGUCUUAUAAAUAAUUGGGGAAGAACAAGGGGCACCCAAGACACUGUAAUUUUUGAGUUUUCCCUCUCUGUAUUUCCUGGGUUUUAGGACUGUUCAUGGUGAACUUUCUCCAUCACCAGGACAUUGUAAACUUAUCAAUGAAGUUUUAACUUAACAAAAAAAAAAAAAACAAAAAAAAAACAAAAAGAGAUACAAAACUUUUUCUCGUAUAUUAUUGAAUAUAAUGUACAUUUUGCUAUGACUCCAUACCAAUAUGCAAUAGGUACAUAUUUACAGAACUGACAACUCAAUAAUCGGCUAAUCACAAAACUGCUAGUUUAGAUUGGAAGAGUAAGUGACCCAUCACAAAAGAAUCAAUUGGCCAGUUAAAUAAAUGAAUGUGACUUCGUCGCAUGGGAUGGUGAGACCACCCAUUGGGUGGCUAAACCCAAACUCUGCCUCGGCUUGAUUUAACAAGCCUUGAAAUAAAGGAUGGUUCAAAUAUGAUAUUGGUACCAUAAAUCGCUUUUUCUGCUUCUCUCCAACAUAAACAGCAACAUGGCCCUUUUGAACACUUCUGGUCUCUUCUGAAUUUGAUAGAGACCGUCUAAGACUUUUCUUAAUAUGAGGAACACCAGGUAAACGAAUAGCCAUUGAUAUUGAUGUUGUAGGAAUAACAAGAAGAAAUGUCUAAGUCUAUUGGUGUGGGAGAAAAAAAAUUUCAAACUUGGAGUCGAAUGAUAUUCUAAGCUGAUAGGUUUGUAUAUUUAUAUAGAGGAUAUUGGUACAUGACAAACUCCCCCAUGAAACAUCCAAAGAUCAAAUGCCUUGUGAAGGGUAACAUUACAAAAUGGUGUAAAUAUAAUGAUCUAUGUUUUGUUGCAAAAACUAAAUGCUCAAAUUCGAAAGUGAUGACCCUUUUUCGUUCAUAUCAAUGGGCCGAUAGGACAAACAUAUGAAUCUUUAAAAAUCUUCUUGUUGGUGAACUAAACGACUAAUAUUAAUGCUAAAUUUCUAUAUCAUAAGAAAUAUAGUAAUAUAAAAAACUGAUCCAUAACAAGAAAAGUUAUAUAAAACAACUAACUGUACAGUCUUUGUACCUUUGAUCCCAAAGCUUUGUUUGUGUAAAUCCCAGUUGCCACAGAUGUUCCGAAAGGUCACCUUGAAGUUUAAGUACAGGAGACCAAGAAGAAGCGAUACAUUGUUCACUUGUUCCGUAUCAUUCUGGACCCAACCUGAAUUCCAAGACUCGCUUAGAUACUAUGUACGGACUGGUGAAUUUAUCUAGGCUUCAAAAAAGUUGCGUCAACCAGAUGCCUGCCUACAUAGAAAACAGAGUUAGUGAUAUUUAUUGUUUGAUCUAUCGAUGGGCGGAUAGGACAAACACAAAUCUUUGUCAAACUUAUAAUUUAGAUGCCACAAUUGAUUGUGGGAUAUUGAAUAAAACAAUGCCCACACUUCUUUUUUUCAUGCAGCGAGACACCACAUUCUGUGGUCUUUGGGGUAUAAUACUCUUUUUGCUUGGUUUGCCCAAGAUGGCUCGAGGGCUAGUUCACUGUUGGCGGAAGCCAAUGUCCCGGGCUCCCAGGGACAUAUUCUGACUGAAACAAGGGGUGGGUCUUUACCGACUUCCAAAUCCAAGAUUUUUUUGAAGCCUGACAGCCGCAAAUCCAGUCUUAUACACCCUACCUGUUCUAGUUCUUGCAGGGUUCCUGCUCCGAGCCCCCCACAAAGUUUGGUGUGCUUUCCUUAUGUGAUUGACGAGUCAUGAUUAAGAAGAUCAGUCACAAGCUAUCCUUCUUGUGCUAGUAAUUUAAGGGUGUACAUUCACAUUAAUACGAAUUAUGGGAACAAGUAGGUUAACGUAUGAAGUAGAGCCUUCUAUAAUGUCUCCUAAUGCUCACCGAGUAGAUUGACGAGUGCAGAAAUCUCAUGAUGAUUGUGAAUGAGGGAAGCAACUACCAUUUCCUUAGGAAUAUUCUCCCUGUAAGAUUCAACUUGAUUUAACUUCAUUUGCAAUAAUCAUCUAGAGGUCAGCUUCCCUACUCUUUUAAUUGAACAUAUGGAGUUUUUAAUGUCAUAUUUUUAACGCUUGCUACUGGUAAAUACAUGCCUGUGCCUGUAGUGAGAAUCUUUUUGGAUGGUUGACUGAUUUAUUGCUGGAUACACUAUUGGAAACCAUUUUUCUCUGAUUCGCAGUUCACUUUAUGGAUUUUUUUUAUUUCAAUCCAAUCAUAUGUAUAAUUGCUAAAUGAAGAAUCACACGAUAUAUCAUAACAAAUGGGUAAACAUAACUGAGAUUAUCAACAAGAGAAAGUUCAGGGAAUGACUUGUAUCUAUAUUUAGUGUUAACAACAAAUAGUAUCAAAAAUGGUUCCUUCAUUGAUGUUGUGUUAGGGAGACACCUGCAUUGUUUGCGUCUUGUAUCUCUUAUACAAGUGUAUUUACAUGAUUGACUACUCUAAUUUCUCACAAAAAGGAUGGUUUUUUUUUGAAGGGACCAGCCCCAUGGAGCCAUAUUGGUGCAGAAUCUAACAAUUAUCUGAAGGCCAUCAACUGGCCAGUUAGUUGAAGAAAAGAGUCUUCAUUGCAUGGAAUUGUGAGGCCGCCCAUUGGGUGAUCAAAUCCAAACUCUUCCUCGGCUUGAUUUAACAAGUCUUGGAAUAAAGGAUGGUUCACAUAAGAUAUUGGAACCACAAAUCGCUUCUUUUGAUUCUCUCCAACAUAAACAGCAAUAUGGCCUUUUGGAACACUUGCAGUCUCCUCUGUAUUUGAAAGAGACCGUCGAAGGGAGCUUCUUUUCAUAUGAGGAAUAGCAGGUACGCGAAUAGCCAUUGAUUCUCUGCUAGAAGAACAAGUAAGAAAACAAAUUGAUAUUAAAUGGUCUCUUGUUAAGAGAGUAUGUUGAAUUGGAAUUGGAUUGUAGUCUUUGCUGAUGGAUGUGUUUAUUUAUAGUGUGUAUAUGGUACUUGACAAAUUCAAAGGUGACAUGCCUUGUGAAGGAUCACAUGGUUUUGUACUUUUGUCUGACUCCUUCAACGUCAUGUAUCGAGUGACGAAAGUAAUCUCUGUCUUGUUACAAGAACAAGAUUGCCCUACCUAGAAAACAGAGUUGCAGCGAUGACCCUUUCUCAUUUAUAUCGAUGGGCCACUAGGACAAACAUGAAUCUCUGUCAAACUUAUUGUUAGCCCUACCAGUAGGACAAACAUUAAUUUUAGAGUUAUAUUCACGACAGAUAGUUCUAUCUAAACAUGUUGCCUUUUGGACAUCACCAAUGGUUUCCCUUCGUAAAAUGCGGACCCUUAGUAGAUGAGACACACUUUGUAUUGUUUAAUAUUAGGGUUUUAGACUUCUGGUCAUACUGUUGAUUUUAUGGAAUCUGAUUGUGGUAGUCCAAAUGUGUUAUUUCUCCUACAUUCUUGGAAACUCAUUGGAGGAAAAACUCGGAAAUUUCAUAACCUUACUAUGAAAUGUUUGAACCAAUUAGGGUUAGGCAGUACAGCAGUUACAGGAAACAUCCCCCCUCCCCCACCUCCAACCUCACGCCGAGCUGAAGUGGGUUGGGACUUGGGAGUCUUUGAAAGCUUGGUCAACAUAAAUUUUAAUUUUGUAGAUGAUAUUCCUCUGAGUAAAGAUGUCAACCCACUUAAUUAGUCUUCUCUGGGAUAUAGUUGAGUGAUAGAACCAGUUUUCUAAUGUAGUUAAAACAGUUUUCUUAUAUAGUUGGUAGUUACAUUCUCUGUAUUUGGUUAUGGCAUGGAACAUGUUAUACAAUGACACAGAACUAUUAUUGUUUUGCUACAUUCCUUGAUCCUUAAUUUAUGAAGUUUUGCAUACAAAAAUGAGACUAGAUCACCCAAACAGUUAUAGGGGGUUGUUUGUGAAAACCUUCACCCCUUAACCCUGCCAUUCUUGUAUAAACUUUAAAAGAAGAGGGACUUAUGGCCCACUUUGCGCUAUUUGACUUCCCUGUGUAUCUUAGAGACAUUGAUUAUAUAAGUGUUACUGCAUUCACUCGUCAACACUACUGCAAUUAGGAUUUUGAUUAUGCGACUUGAUUUACUAAUAGCAAAGUUUUGUAUUAGUUUUUACAUAUUGGGAUAUAAUAGAUUUUUUUUUUUUUUUUUGAUAGUCUGCGAUAUAAUAGAUACUUUGCAGCAAAUACUGUAUGCGGAAGGAAUGCAAGGUCAUUUGCAUAGCAAUAUCUUUUUGUUAUCAAAUAGCGCGACUUUUACCUUUUAUCAUUAUAAAAAGUGGAUAGAAGUAGAAACAAAAUUUCUGUUGACAAUGUUGUUACAGAAGAGUAAUUUUUCUCUGCUUGCCUAAUACUGUAUCUACACUAAAUACUACAUGACUGACAACUCCAUUAUCAUGAAAGUGCUGGUGUAGUUUGGAGUUUACCCAAUCAGUCCCUACAAAACCCUAACUACUCUGCCGUAGUUGCUCUUCAUUGGACUCACGAAGGAAUUAGUCGACUAGUUAUUUCAGUGAAGGUGUCUUCAUUGCAUGGAAUGGUGAGACCACCCAUUGGGUGAUCAUAUCCAAACUCUUCUUCAGUUUGAUUUAACAAGUCUUGGAAUAAAGGAUGGUUCAAGUAUGAUAUUGGCACCACAAACCGCUUCAUUUGAUUCUCUCCAACAUAAAUGGCAAUAUGGCCUUUUGGAACACAUGUUGUCUCUUCUUUGUUUGAAAGAGACCGUCUUCUCUUAAUAUAAGGGAUACCAGGUAAGUGAAUAGCCAUUGAUGCAGCAAGAAGAAGAAGAGGAAGUUAAAAGCAGUGAAUAUUGGAGGGCUAAUUGGGCUAGAGAGAAAGUUGGUUAACUUGGAGUUGGAUGGUAGUCUAAGAUGAUAGAUGUGUAUAUUUAUAGUGUGCAAGCAAUGAAGGUACAGUACUUGACAAUAUCAAAGGCGACAUGCAUUGUGAAGGAUCACAUGGAUUUGUCUGAUAUUUUCGAUGUUGAUUAUGAAGCUGUUAAAUGAUCUGUGUUUUGUUGCAAGAAUCAGAUGUCCCACCUAGAAAACAAAAUAUUAGUAGUGAGUGGUGACCUUUUCAAUAUAUCGAUGAGCCAAUAGUUGUGAGUGGUACUAUUCCUUUGGUUCUUUAGUUGGAUUUAAAGUCAAUGUACUUAACUUUGAUUAAUCAGAUACUGAGGAAUGAGGAUCUGGUACUUUACAGUUUCAAAGUGACAUUCCUUGUGAAGGAUCACAUAGUGUUGUCUGAUGUCAUGUACGAAAUGGUGAAAUUAUCGAGGCUUUGUUGCAGGAAUAAGAUGCCGUAAUUUUUACUUGGUAAACAUACUUAAAGUAAAACACCCUGACAGAUCUCUUUGGACCGUUGUUUAUAGAAAUCAUUUGUACCCAUAAAUCCAUUUGCCUGGGAUGCUUGAUGCCGGCCAAUAGAUUCUCUGAUACGUUAUUUUCAGUUCAAGUAUCACAAAGGCUCCACAAUCUAGACCUUUAUGUAUUUUAUUGGGCGAGAAACCGACCGUAAAAAUUCCAUAAAUGUUUUCAAUAUCAUCCCUGCCCAAACAACCCACAUUACAGGACUUUCUAAGUAAAGCUGAAGAAGAGUUUGGAUAUAAUCAGCUGAUGGCAGUCUUACCACUUUUUAUACAGAGUAAUGGUAAUUGGUCCAUAGUGCUCUGUAUAUAAUAUACAAUGGCGUCUGGAAAUUCAUCUUUCCUAUUGCACUAAUAUUGUAUAAAUGGAUUAUAGCAAGGAUUUACUUGCAAAGUUAAACAAAAUCUUACUUUGUGCAUUUAGUGCUUUGACUGUGUAGACAAACAAAUCAUUUAACCCUGCAGUACUUGAGAUUAUACAUUGAAGUCCUGUGUACUUGGGAAAUAAUUUAUGCAUUACUUCUACCCUACUGAUAGGCUUCAUGAAAGAUCAAAUGAUUUUGUGUAUAUAGUCAAUACUCGGUAGAGAAAUAAAAAGGGUUAGUAAUAUAUACUGAGGAAAAUAAGUUUCUAUUCAUUGAUGUUGUAAAUGGGAGACAUUUGUAUUUUCUUUCUCCCGUAUCUCUAAUACAAAAUUUUAUGUAUGAUUGACUGUACACUAGCAUCUAACAAAAUUGGAUGGUUUGAUUUCAAGGGACCAGCCUCCAAAGGAACCAUACUGCUGCAACCUGCGGGAUCUGCUCAUCAUCUUAAUUAUGAGCCAAUCAACUGACUAGUUAGCUCUAUAAAGGAAUCUUCGUGGCAUGGGAUAGUUUGCCCUCCCAUUGGGUGAUUAAAUCCAAAUCCUUCCUCAGCUUGAUUUAACAAGUCUUGGAAUAAAGGAUGAGUCAGGUAUGAUAUUGGAACCACAAAUCUUCUCUUUUCAUUUUCUCCAACAUAUACUGCAAUGUGGCCUUUUGGGACUACAGUUGAAGUUUCCGUAUUUGAAAAAGAUCGUCGAAGACUUCUUUUAAUGUGAGGAAUACCAGGUAAACGAAUAGCCAUGGAUGCUGCAAGUAUAUUAAGAAAAAACUGAUGUGUUGGAGUUGAGAGAAAACUGGUUAACUUGGAGUUGGAUAAUAGUUUGAGCUGAUGGAGGUGUAUAUUUAUAGAGGAAAUGCUACUUGAGUUAUUCUUUCAUCAGGAGUGACUAAUCUUGAUAAUUAGUUAGUUGCAAGGCAAAGCCAUGUGAUCCUUCAAGAGGCAAAGCCGUGUGAUCCUUCAAGGCAAAGCCAUGUGAUCCUUCUUAGAAUUCUUCAUUAUUAAGUCCACAUUUGAAAAAAAAAAGAAAAAAAGAAGAAGAAGAAGGCUUAAAGAGUUUAAUCAAUUACAAUGUGUGCUGAAUUAGUACUUAAAAACUUGCUGCAUUCUCAUCAACAUUGCAAGUUGAGCCAUGAUUUUGAUGGCUUGGUUAGUUGCGCAAGGAAGUUUCUUAUAUAUGCAGAAAUAGAAAUUAUGGAUGAUUGUAAAAAAAAAAAAUAUAAAUGAGUUGCUUGUUAUAAUAGGAAACCAAGAGUAGUAGAAACAAGUGAUAUGGCGAUUUUGUGGGUCUUAUAAGUAAUUGGGGAAGAACAAGGGGCACCCAAGACACUGUAAUUUUUUAGUUUUCCCUCUCUGUAUUUCCUGGGUUUUAGGAUUGUUCAUGGUGAACUUUCUCCAUCAGUAUCACCAGGACAUUUUAAACUUAUCAAUGAAGUUUUAACAAAAAAAAAAAAACAAAAACAAAAAGAGAUACAAAACUUUUUCUCGUAUAUUAUUGAAUAUAAUGUACAUUUUGCUAUGACUCCAUACCAAUAUGCAAUAGAUACAUAUUUACAGAACUGACAACUCAAUAACCGGCUAAUCACAAAAACGCUAAUUUAGAUUGGAAGAGUAAGUGACCCAUCACAAAGGAAUCAAUUUGGCAGUUAAAUAAAUGAAUGUAUCUUCGUCGCAAGGGAUAGUGAGACCACCCAUUGGGUGGCUAAACCCAAACUCUGCCUCGGCUUGAUUUAACAAGCCUUGAAAUAAAGGAUGGUUCAAAUACGAUAUUGGUACCUUAAAUCGUUUUUUCUGCUUCUCUCCAACAUAAACAGCAACAUGGCCCUUUUGAACACUUCUGGUCUCUUCUGAAUUUGAUAGAGACCGUCUAAGACUUUUCUUAAUAUGAGGAACACCAGGUAAACGAAUAGCCAUUGAUAUUGAUGUUGUAGGAAUAACAAGAAGAAAUGUCUAAGUCUAUUGGUGUGGGGGAAAAAUUUUUUCAAACUUGGAGUCGAAUGAUAUUCUAAGCUGAUAGGUUUGUAUAUUUAUAUAGAGGAUAUUGGUACAUGACAAACUCCCCCAUGAAACAUCCAAAGAUCAAAUGCCUUGUGAAGGGUAACAUUACAAAAUGGUGUAAAUAUAAUGAUCUAUGUUUUGUUGCAAACACUAAAUGCUCAAAUUCGAAAGUGAUGACCCUUUUUCGUUCAUAUCAAUGGGCCGAUAGGACAAAAAUAUGAAUCUUUAAAAAUCUUCUUGUUGGUGAACUAAACGACUAAUAUUAACGCUAAAUUUCUAUAUCAUAAGAAAUAUAGUAAUAUAAAAAACUGAUCCAUAACAAGAAAAGUUAUAUAAAACAACUAACUGUACAGUCUUUGUACCUUUGACCCCAAAGCUUUGUUUGUGUAAAACCCAGUUGCCACAGAUGUUCCGAAAGGUCACCUUGAAGUUUAAGUACAGGAGACCAAGAAGAAGCGAUACAUUGUUCACUUGUUCCGUAUCAUUCUGGAGCCAACCUGAAUUCCAAGACUCGCUUAGAUAUUAUGUACGGACUGGUGAAUUUAUCUAGGCUUCAAAAAAGUUGCGUCAACCAGAUGCCUGCCUACAUAGAAAACAGAGUUAGUGAUAUUUAUUGUUUGAUCUAUCGAUGGGCGGAUAGGACAAACACAAAUCUUUGUCAAACUUAUAAUUUAGAUGCCACAAUUGAUUGUGGGAUAUUGAAUAAAACAAUGCCUACACUUCCCUUUUUUCAUGCAGCGAGACACCACAUUCUGUGGUCUUUGGGGUAUAAUACUCUUUUUGCUUGGUUUGCCCAAGAUGCCUCGAAGGCUAGUUCACUGUUGGCGGAAGCCAAUGUCCCGGGCUCCCAGGGACAUAUUCUGACUGAAACAAGGGGUGGGUCUUUACCGACUUCCAAAUCCAAGAUUUUUUUGAAGCCUGACAGCCGCAAAUCCAGUCUUAUACACCCUACCUGUUCUAGUUCUUGCAGGGUUCCUGCUCCGAGCCCCCCACAAAGUUUGGCGUGCUUUCCUUAUGUGAUUGACGAGUCAUGAUUAAGAAGAUCAGUCACAAGCUAUCCUUCUUGUGCUAGUAAUGUAAGGGUGUACAUUCACAUUAAUAUGAAUUAUGGGAACAAGUAGGUUAACGUAUGAAGUAGAGCCUUCUAUAAUGUCUCCUAAUGCUCAUCGAGCAGAUAAUGAGGGGAAUUUAUUCCUUCCAACCUUUUAUUAUAGGAAAACCAAAUUUUGAAAUUUAUAUAGUUAACAAGAGCUACUUAUACUUUGUCAAGGAAUUCUACUUCCUCGCAGUAGAAUCUAAUUGCUGACUAAUACUCUAAUAUAGGGGUAGUCAAUAUGCUAGGUAGUCAGCUAACAACGCUUGCCUUUAUGUGACUUCGUGCCUAGGUAUCUUUGAGACAUUGUUGAAUAUAUUGCAUGCUCGUUUGCUAAGAGUUACUGCAUUCCGUUAUUGUCAAAGUAUUUUACAAGUGUCUGAUUUUGUGACUUGAUUUACUAUUUGCAAAGUAUUUCACAGGUGUCUCUCUGCCUUGUGAGAAUCUAUAAACAGUGUUGUAGAAAUGCUGCAAAAGAAAUACAAGAUAACGUGGAUAACUUUUUGAAGUUAAUUGUGAAAGAGAGAAACAAGUGAUAAGAAAAUGUUUAUAUCUAUGAACAAUGUUUUUAGAGGAGAAAUUUUUCUGCCUCCCGUAUCUCUUUACAGGAAAAUAUUUACAUGACUGACCACUCAAUUGUCAAAAAUGUUCUGGUUUUGUUUAGAGCCAAUGUCCUGGGCUCCCUUGCAUGGUUGCUUGUUGCCAAAUUCAUUAAUUUAACUGACCAGUUACACUAAUGAAGGUGUCUUCGUAGCAUGGGAUAGUGAGACCACCCAUUGGGUGGUCAAAUCCAAACUCUUCUGCGGCUUGAUUUAACAAGUCUUGGAAUAAUGGAUGAUUCAAGUAUGAUAUAGACACCACAAAUCGCUUCUUUUGAUUCUCUCCAACAUAAACAGCAACAUGGCCCUUUGGAACACUUCUGCUCUCUUCCGAAUUUGAGAGAGAUCGUCGAAGACUUUUCUUAACAUGAGGAAUACCAGGUAUAAGAAGAAUAGCCAUUUAAGCUGUAGGGAUACCAAUAAGGAAUUGAUAUUAAGGGUCUACUGGUGUGAAGAGAAAACUUGUCAACUUGAAGGUGGGUGGUAGUGUAAGCUCAUAGGUGUGUUGAUAUAGAAAGCGGAUAUUACAUGACAAAUUCCCUCAUGAAAUUUCCAAAGGUGACAGGCCUUGUGAUGGAUCACAUGGUUUUGUCUGCUAUUUUUAAUGUCGUGCACUCAGUGGUAAAUCGAUCUUAUGUCUAGUGCAACAACAAGAUGUCCUACCUAGAAACUGAGGAUGACCCCGUCUCGAUCGUUUAUAUCAAUGGGCCAAUACACAGCUAUGAAUGUUUAGAAAACUAAUAUUAAUGCUGAAGUCACAUUUAUCACAACAAAGAAAUUCAUGAACAGUAUAAAGUAUAAACAACUGAUUUCCCAUAACAAGAAAAAGUAUAUAGAAUAACCGUACAAUUCCUUAUGUCCUUAAAUCUUGAAGCUUUCUUUGUGAAGAAUCCAGUUGCCUCAGAUGUUUUCAAGGUCAUCUUGCAGUUUAAGUAGGGAAGAUCACCAUGAAGAAGCCAUGCAUAGCUAGGUCCAUAUCUUGAAGAUCACCAUGAAGAAGCCAUGCAUAGCUAGGUCCAUAUCUUUCAUUCUUUCUUAAAUUGACCUACAUUCAUGUAAUGUGUUGUUAACUAUGCAGGCAUGCCUCUUUUUUUCUUCUGUUUCUUUUUUUCUUUUUGGUUAAGAAGUCUUAAUCUGAUAUUUGUAACUGAUUUCUAAUUCACAAAAACGCUACAUUGAUGGAAGUUGCAUUUGCUCCAGUCUCCAACCCCCACUCGCCACAUUGAUCUGGUUUUGAAUAUUAGAUACAUCAAUCUAAACUAAGAAAAAUGCGAGCUGAGCCAGAACGGCAGACUUGGACAACAGGAGAUGUGGACACUAAUUGUUUUUUUUUUUUACUGGUUAUCUCGAGUGUUACUGGCUGCUACAGUAGGUUCAGACACUUGAAAUUGUGUUGGCUCCAAUCUUGACGAAGAAAAUUAUGAAAAAGCUAAAGUGCGUCAAGAAGUUGAAGAGGUCACAGAGUAGUGAUUGUAAAACCUAUGAAACUGGAGAAAGCCCAAGUGUAUUUGGUUCCCGGCCAGGUCUUAAGAAAGUUCAAGGGAGUGACCUCGAUGCUUAACAGUACAUUGGUUACAGUUCAGAUAAGAAGACUUGCCAACCCCUUCAUAAUGAAGGGCUACGGUAAUAUACCAACACAUUACUCUGGUUCAAAAGGUAAUAUACCAUAAGAUUUUGUCAUUAUGGCACUUAGUUCAUGGAGCACUUUGGUACGUACUUUUUAGAGCUGGGGAUGAGGACUGGACUGUAAUAGAAGAUCAAGAAUAUCAGAUCCUAAAUGGGGGUAGAUAACGCAGGAAGAGUUUGUAUUAAUUGUUGAUCCCAACACUUGAAAUGGGGACUCUAGUAGUCUAGUAGUAAAUUCUUUGGUUGAUGGUGGUUGGAAAAAGAAAUAUAAUGGAGAAUUGUUUCUGGUUGAUAUUUGUAGAUUUUAUGAUGGUGGACAACAAAUUCCAAAAAAUUACAUAUUGUACUGUACUACUGUGGCCAACUUAUACCGACUGACUGCAAAGUGUUUAAGCUUGAUGAAAGGAAAGAACAUUGGGUUCAGGUAGGUAGUGGAUUUGGAAAAUGUAGUAGUGUUUCUGCAAAGUGUUCAAGUUUGAUGUAUUCUAUUUCGGCAUCAGACUUUGGAUGUACCGUACAUGUUUGCAAACUUGAACUCAGAUGAUGGUACUUUCCAAGAGUUACCAUUACCCAGCUUGGAUGCCGCCAUGCCGGUGAGCAGCAAUACACGACAGGGGGAGCAAAAGAGAUAAUUUUUUUCGUGUACAGUACUGGUCUAGUGGUCUUGCAUUAUUGUGGGAGUGUUCUGGCAGUAAUUUUCAAUGGCGUCUGGAAAUUCAUCUUUCCUAUUGCACUAAUAUUGUAUAAAUGGAUUAUAGCAAGGAUUUACUUGCAAAGUUAAACAAAAGGGCUAUUUUGUAUUUGGUCCCUCUAGAAGAUAGCUAAUUAGUAUGUGGUCUAAUGUUUUUGGUUUAUUAGCAAAUAGUCCUAAAAUCGUUACUUGACUGUUAGUCAAUAUAGUUGACUCGAGUCAAGACAUCCAUAUUUUUUUAAUAGCCAAACUACCCUUUUAAUCAUGAACAUAUCCCAUCAAAUAUUCUAUUUAACAUAAAAAUCUAAUAUUCUCAAAAAUUUAAAUCCUACUUAAAAAAAAAAAUUGAUAAUCGAACUUACACAAAAUUGAAAAAAAAAAAUAAAGUAUAUUUUUAAUCAAAUUAGACCUAGUAAUUUAACAAAUAGAAAUGGGCUUGCAACUGGUAUGAAAGAGAAUGGAUUUGGGGCUUUGGAGAAUUGGAGAAGUAAAACAAAAUGAGGGUUUUGUAUGUUUCUUUAGGGAUUUGGAUUUUUAGAUGUUUUGGAAAGUUUGAGGGAGAAUGAUAAUUCAUAAACUUUAGACCAGAAUUUGAAAUUGCUUGAAUCACAAAGCAAAUUUCCAUUCUCAUUUGUCCAUUUUCAUUGAAACGAGAUAUUAGAACCAACAAAAUAAUCUUUAAAGGAGAAGGAUGCAUCUACUUCCAUCAUGAAUCAUGAUAGCUAAAAAGCUUUAUUCCUUCACCAUUUUCUUCAACCCCACCAUCAUUAACUUAUGAAAUUGAAGUGGCCGAUUCGAAUUUUAAAGAAAGAGAUUAAAACUAAAAGUCAACUUGGUACAAUGAACACCAUCACUCGUUACUUGAUUCAAAGUUGGAUUUGAUUUCAGCUCAUGUCAAAUUAGAAUAAAGAGAUUUUCAAGUUGUUUUAUGAUAGCAAAAUUGAAGGUUAAGGUUUGUUUAGUUUAUGGGUUUUUUAAAGUUGUUUUUCAUAGGGGAAGAAGGUGAAAAGAAGUAAACUGAAUUUGGUCUUUGUUAGUUCGAUGAUGAUAGAGUGAGAUUGAAGUUAGGGGGGGAGAUGAUGGAGUUUUGGUUUUUUUAAGGGGGAUGUGUAUACUGUUUAGGAUAGAAGAAAAGGAAAAGAAGUUAUGGUUUUGCCACGUGGCACAAUAUCUAACCUUGGAUUUAGUCCAACAAUGAAGCAUUGACAUAUGGAGAGAAAAAAAAUUCAGUUUUUAAAAUUUAAGUUAUGUCAUGUGAAGGAUAGUUUGGACAUUAAAAAAAUAUGGAUGGUUGAAGUAACGAUUUUAGGACCAUUUGCUAAUAAACCAAAAACUUUGGACCACAUGCUAAUUAGCUAUCUUCUAGAGGGACCAAAUACAAAAUAGCCCUAAACAAAAUCGUACUUUGUGUAUUUAGUGCUUUGACUGUGUAGACAAACAAAUGAUUUAACCCUGCAGUACUUAGAUUAUACAUUGAAGUCCUGUGUACUUGGGAAAUAACUUAUGCAUUACUUCUACCCUACUGAUAGGCUUCAUGAAAGAUCAAAUGAUUUUGUGUAUAUAGUCAAUACUCGGUAGAGAAAUAAAAAGGGUUAGUAAUAUAUACUGAGGAAAAUAAGUUUCUAUUCAUUGAUGUUGUAAAUGGGAGACAUUUGUAUUUUCUUUCUCCCGUAUCUCUAAUACAAAAUAUUAUGUAUGAUUGAUUGUACACUACAAUCUAACAAAAUUGGAUGGUUUGAUUUCAAGAGACCAGCCUCCAAAGGAACCAUACUGCUGCAGCCUGCGGGAUCUGCUCAUCAUCUUAAUUAUGAGCCAAUCAACUGACUAGUUAGCUCGAUAAAGGAAUCUUCGUGGCAUGGGAUAGUUAGCCCUCCCAUUGGGUGAUUAAAUCCAAAUUCUUCCUCAGCUUGAUUUAACAAGUCUUGGAAUAAAGGAUGAGUCAGGUAUGAUAUUGGAACCACGAAUCUUCUCUUUUCAUUUUCUCCAACAUAUACUGCAAUGUGGCCUUUUGGGACUACAGUUGCAGUUUCCGUAUUUGAAAAAGAUCGUCGAAGACUUCUCUUAAUGUGAGGAAUACCAGGUAAACGAAUAGCCAUGGAUGCUGCAAGUAUAUUAAGAAAAAACUGAUGUGUUGGAGUUGAGAGAAAACUGGUUAACUUGGAGAUGGAUAAUAGUUUGAGCUGAUGGAGGUGUAUAUUUAUAGAGGAAAUGGUACUUGAGCUAUUCUUUCAUCAGGAGGAAUGGAGGAUAAGUACCAAAACAUGCCUUGUGAGGCAUCACAUGGGUUUGCCUGAAAUCUAAAACUGGGUGGUCACAUUGCAUCCAUUGUUCUGUGGCAGAAACAUCAUGCCCUACAAACAAGACAAGAAUGCUAUUGAGAUGGUCCCUUCUCAAUUUCAUAGCCAUACAUAUUUUUGUUGCCAGAAACGAUCGCAUUAGCCCAAAAGAACUUGUACAAUUCGUAACUGUGAAAAUCCACCAGUCCCCACUAAAAGAUUUGGAAGAAAACAUCAGAUUAUUUACAAGAGCCAGUGUCUAAUGCUGAACUGAGCCUAUUGGGACAUGAUAGGCCAGGAUUGUCAACUUGAUGGAUCCUGUUAAUUUGUUGCAAGGAAAUCAAGUCCAUGUGAUCCUUCGUGAAGCAUGUCUCUUACCUUUGAAUGAUUCUUAAACAUUGAAUCCACAUUUGAUAGGACUGCAGCCUCAAAGCUUUGACAAUUUUUCUUUCUACAGAAUACAAGUCUUUCAUUGUUGAUAUAUACUGUUGAUCAUAGAAAGCAGGGGCAUGAACGUGGAAUGCUUCAUGCAAAUUUUUCCACAAGCUAUAUAUGUUCACUCUUGUCACUCAGAUGUUCCACAUUAAAAGGCCACUUUGCAGUUCGUAUGUUGGUUUUACGUGUUCGGAUUACUUUACAGAAACGAUGCAGAAGGAAAUACAAGGUCAACUGCAGAACUGCCUGACAUAUCUGUUUAUCAAAGAGAGGUAGCUAUCAUAGGAAAAUAGUGAAUGAAAGUACAAACAAUUGAUAAGAAAAUUUUGUUUCUAUUGAUCAAUGUUGUUACAAGAGAAAAUUUUCUCUGCUACCAUAAUCUCUACACACUAUCUACACGACUGACAACUUCAUUAUCAUAAAGCUGCUGGUUUGGAUUCUGUACCAAUUAGGUACUACAAUAUCCUAUCUCUGCUUUGGUUGCUCAUUGUUAGACUCACGAAGAAAUCAGCCGACUAGUUAAAUAAAUGAAGGUGUCUUCGUCGCAUGGGAUAGUGAGACCACCCAUUGGGUGAUUAAAUCCAAAUUCUUCCUCAACUUGAUUUAACAACUCUUGAAAUAAAGGAUGGUUCAAGUAUGAUAUUGGCACCACGAACCGCUUCAUUUGAUGCUCUCCAACAUAAACAGCAACAUGGCCUUUUGGAACAUUUGUGGUCUCAUCCCUAUUUGAAAGAGACCGUCGAGGAGAUUUUCUCUUCAUAUGAGGAAUGCCAGGUACGCUAAUAGCCAUUGAUGCUGCAAGCUAGAAUAACAAGUAAAAUGAAAUGAUAUUGAAGUGUCUUUUGAACUAGAGAGGGUUUGGAUGGUAGUCUAAGAAGAUAGAAAUGUAUGUAUAUAUAAUGAGCAAUUAGGAUAUUAUACUUGACAAUUUCGAAGGGAGACAUGCCUUGUUAAGUAUCACUUGGUUUUGUCUCACAUCUUCAUUGUCUUGUAAAGAGUUGCUAAGAUAAUCUAGAUUUUGUUGCAACAACAAGAUGACCACCUAGAAAACAUAGUAGUUGUGAGUGGCCACCCCUUCUGGAUUAUAUCGAUAUAGGCUAAUAGGACAAGCAUGAAUUAUGAAUGUUCACAUAUGUGACAUAUCUAACAGUACUGUCAUAAAAUAAAAGUGGUACUUGGUCGCCAUCCCUUUGUUCUUUAUUUGAUAGUCAAUGUAGCUAACUUUGGUUGAUCAGAUACUUGAAGUAUGAGACUAUGAGGACAUGGUUUUGUCUGAUAUCUUCAACUGUCAUUACGGAGAAGUUGUUAAAAUGAUCUUGUUGAAUAAACAAGAUGGCCUCCUUUGAAAACAGAGUAAUAUAGUUUAUAGUGGUGAGAGGUGAGCUCUUUUCAGUCGUAUCAUAUCAAUGGCCCAUGUGUUUCAUUAUUUAGCUUUGGUGCUUACUCAUUAUUCAUUCAGUUCUCUAUUAAGAUUUGUUAAUAUGUGUUUGACUUUCGUCGAUCAUAUAUUUUAGUGGGAAUCUUAAGUUGAUUAUACAAUGGCUUUAGGAAGUGUGUUGCAAUAUGUGUCUUUAUAGCAGGAAGAAUGGCUCAUCGAUGCGCAUUAAUUAGUGCUGCUAUCCUGCAGAGGGCGACCCUGGAGACAUAUUUUCAUGAAUGAUGCAAGAGAGUGCAGAUUACAUUGUGAAGAUCGGAUAUGGAGCUUAACAAAAUCGAAGGUAAGAUGCCUUGUGAAGUACAUGAUUUGUCUGAUAUAUAUCUUAGAUGUCAUGUACAAAAUAGUGAAGUUAUCUAGGCUUUGUUGCAGCAACAUGAUGCCGUACCUUAACUAGAAAAUAUUGUUGAAGUGAGGAUCUAUGUCAUUUAAAUCGAUAAUGUGCCCUCAAUAUGACAAACACAAUUGCUGUCAAAAUUGUUGUUAGCCUAAUGAGAAACUACAAAUAGUGCUAGUAUAACAAAUGUGAAUUCAAACAAGCAAAUAAACAAUACGCAGAAAGUAAAUAACACACAGAGAUUUUUAACGUGGUAAAACCCAAACAGGGAAACGUCCACGGUUGUCCUCGCGACAACAAAAUAAUCCACUAGAUGAAAAGAGAUGUACAAACCUAUCAACUACCUGCACUCACUGCGAGUUGAUACUCCUGGUUAUCUCUAACACCUUGACUUCACCAGAGCACCUUGAUGUACGCAUAAGACACUCGACUUCUUGAUGAACACACAAGAAGACUCGAAGCCGAAAUCACAAUAACUCUUAAAGAUCACAAAGAUAUGAAUGGAGAAAAGGAGGAAGAAAGGGAAUUGAGUUCAAUAGCUACAAACACUUUCAAUAUCACAAACCUAACCAAAACACAUGAACUAGAAGAAGGAUGGACGGCCAAAGAACUGACUUCUUCUAAGGAAGAGAAACCCUAUUUAUACUUAGGGUUGAAAACCUAGGAAAAUGGGCCGAAACUGUGCAAACCGACUUUGGACGUUCGUACGUCGAUAUGACGUUCGAACGUCGCAACACAAAAAUAAGCCUGCUGCCUUACAUGACGUACGAACGCUCUAACUCGGUACGUACGUCUCCAUACGAAAACACGUCUGCUGCCUACUUGGACGUACGAACGUCCUAACUGAGUACGUACGUCCUGACCAAAAGAUGUUUGCUGCUUCAGUGAACGUACGUACGUCCUAACUCGGUACGUACGUCCAGAACCCAAUAACUUUUCCUGGACAGACCUAAGAGACACAAGGACACGAGACGACCAUGCGUACAUCUUGAUUUUCCUAACAAUGAAUUCAAGGCGAGAUAACCAAAGACACUUUGUCACAAAAUUGAUGUCAAACCACUUCGUGCCGGUUUCAAUCUCCCCCUUUGACAUUGAUUUUGUGACAAAAACCUAUGACUCUAAUAGCACUUAUAAAACGUGCUUACAAUCCCAAACCAUGGCAUUUAUAAAACAUGCCUACAAAAACACUCAAAAUAGAAACACAUAACAAGUCACCAAUUCUUGUUAUCCAGCUUUAGGAAGAUGCUUUAACCAUCAGAGAUCGAACGAAAGCAAUCAAAGAUUCAACAGAAGUUCCUUCGAGCAACUCCCCCAUACUUCAUGAGCUCCAAAAUAUGUUUGGCACUCGAACUCCCCCAUAACAAUAUAACUUCUAAAAUCAUCAACACGUUCACUCCCCCAUACGUGUAGCAUACCUGAAACAUGACCCAAAAAUAACCUAACAACAAGAAGACGAUUGUUAGUACUUAGAGUCAUAAAUCUCCCCCUUUUUGUCACAACAAGUGAACAAAAUAACCAACCAACAAAGGAAAAGGACAACAAAAAACCAAUAAUCAAGAAGAAGAAAUCAAUACCAAACAAAGAAUACAAGACAGAUAAAAAUAUAAAACUAAUCCAACUGUUAAAAGUUCAGAAAGUCAACUAAUAACCAAACAGAAAAAUCCAUAAGCAGAAAAAGCAAAAACGACAAAAACUGAAGGCUUGAAUUAACGAAUUCGAAAAACCCGUUCCCAAUGACCUAAAGGAAGCUUGGAGAAGUAAGCUUCCGCACGAGCCGAAGGUCUAUUCCACCGAGCAAUCACAUGAACAUAAAGCUUAAGAUAGGACAUAAAGCUUUCGCACGAGCCGAAUAGCUAUUCCACCGAGUUUGCACAGGACUAUCAGCACUCGUACAAAAUAACUCCUCAAUUCUGCUGUCCAAGCCACAGUCGGUAAGAGGAGCAGCAAGUCCUGGAACCUUCGGGUAUCCAACCAACUCCAAGAUGUGAUUCUGAAGAUGUCCCGGUAGCCUCUCCCAAUGAUUGAUAUGAACCAAGCAUGAAGGAAGUAAAGGUCGAUGAUCAUAGUCAUACCCAUGAGGAACGCGACAUAAACGACAAACCGGCCUUAGCAUUGUUUUUGUACUCCAUGACCAUAAACGACACAUACCCAACAGCCGGAACAAAAACUCCAUGAAGUGCAAAUUCUGUCAUAGGAAAUUCUGAAGAACAAAGAUAGAACUAGAAAGAGAUAAGAAGAUACAAUAGGAGUAAAAGAGGAGAAGACUCCCUAUUUAUAAGAAAAAUAGGAGUAAACAUAUCAUGGGCCCAAAAAGACAGGUCCAUUACCUCAGAAAAAUUUACUGCAAAACAAGGAAACCAACUUGAACUAACAUGAAAAUAGCAAUAUCCAAGAACAUCCUCAAUACCAAAGAAAUAGAAACAAGCUGCUUGAGAGAAGCAAUAAACAACCACCAAAGAAGAAGAAGAAGGGAAAGACCAAAGAAAAGACCUUGAGGGAAGGUGAAGACUUCCUAUGUUCGUGCAAGAGACAAGAAAGGGGCACGAUUGAUGUAACAGUAAGCCUUUGGUUCAAAAAAAAAUUUGAAUUUAAACACAAAUUGGCCGGACUGUAUGACAGACGUUCGUACGUUCUGAACACGGUCGAGAAUGCAAAAGCGAAGAACGACAUCAUACACCAUGACAUGGUAGUUACUAGAAUGAUGCAAGUAUGUAGAAGAACCUGAUAGACCAAUACCAACCUCCGAAAAACAAACUAAAGACAUGAUUAUGGAAUAUUGAAAGUCACUUGCAACUAGCCCAAAAUAAAACUGAACCAGAUCACAAUAUAACAAAGAAAACACACACUAUUGUUGUUCUUUUUGUCUUUCAACUAGACAAAUGCGAAAGCCACUAUUCAUUUUUUUUUUUUUUAUUUUGUAAACCAUUGAAACAGAUGCCAUUCCCGUGUGGGAGUAUGUAAUAUCUCCAUCUUUUACCAGAACACGAGGGUAGGGUGUAGCCUACAUCUUUUCGGCAAAACACACUCAAGAAGAGCAAUACCAUGAUAACGUGCAACACAAGAACUAACAUCUCCUGAGUGCAUCCGUCAGAGCAUGACCCUCACAGCCCCAACAGGUUCUUAGCCAAAUGAGUAUGCUCUCAAGACAUUCAAAUGGCUGGGGAUUUUGUGAGUAAUUGACCACUUACAAGAGGUGAGAAAAUAAAGAAAAUAAAAACAACGAUCAUGAAAAGCAACCAUGGAAAACUGGAGUUAUACAUGUAUUGAAAAGAUCAAGCUAACCACAUUAACAUGCAUCAUGCAAGAAACUACCAAAACAAAGAGAGUAUAAUGUAACCCUACAACUAUGCAUGACACAAAGACAGUUGAGAACGCCAACCUAGAAACAUCUGUAAAAUGGAAUCCACACAAUAGAGAAGGUAGUAUGUCCUCAAAAACAACCACAAUAAUAAUAAACACCAAAAAAACACCGAAUCUAAACAUCCUACCCACAAUGACAAUACCAGAAAGAAAAAGAAAGUAACAAAACAAUUAGGGAAGAGUUACAACCCCAAUAGACUUACGCAAGGAAUGGAAUCGGCCUGCAUCAAGAGGUUUUGUAAGAAUAUCUGCUAGCUGAUGUUCAGUAGGAAUGAACUCCAUUACUAUAUCACCCUUUUCGACCGCCUCACGAAGGAAAUGGUGACGAAUGUCAAUAUGCUUUGUGCGUGAGUGUUGAACAGGAUUCUUGGAAAUGCUAAUGGUACUGGUGUUAUCACAGAACAGGUCCAUCGCCUGCUGUUGAAUGCCAUAAUCCCGAAGCAUCUGACGCAUCCACAGAAGUUGAGUACAUGCACUAGCUGCAGCUAUAUACUCAGCCUCACAUGAAGAGAUGGAUACAGAUGAUUGUUUCUUGCUAUGCCAGGAAACAAGAUUAUUCCCAACAUAGAAACAGCCACCACUGGUACUAUGACGAUCAUCAAGAUUACCACCCCAAUCAGCAUCACAAUAACCUGCCACAACACUAUUCGUAUCUCUGGUGAACCAUAACCCGUAGUCAAGAGUGCUAGCAACAUACCGAAUAAUACGCUUAACCGCAAUGAGAUGAGAUUCUUUAGGGUUAGCCUGAAAUCUUGCACAUACCCCAACACUAUAAGAAAUAUCUGGACGACUAGCAGUGAGAUACAAAAGACUACCAAUCAUACUCCGAUAUUCACGAAUAUCAACAGACUUACCCAUAAUAUCCUUACCAAGACGUACCCUCUCACCCAUGGGAGUAUCUUGACCACUGGAAGUGCUGAGACCGAAUUUUUUAACCAGUUCUUUAGCAUACUUUGUUUGAGAAAUGAAAGCUCCAUGAUCAAACUGUUUGACCUGUAAGCCAAGAAAGAAAUUCAGUUCUCCCAUUAAACUCAUUUCAAAUUCAGAGCUCAUUAAUUGAGAGAAAGAUUCAGAAAGACUUGGGCACGUCGACCCAAACACUAUAUCAUCCACAUAGACUUGGGCGAGAAGAACAUCAGUAUUCUUUCGCAGUAUAAACAGAGUCCGAUCAACACUGCCACGAACAAAUCCUUUUCCCAGUAAGAAGGAGGUCAGACGUUCAUACCAAGCUCGAGGAGCCUGCUUUAACCCAUACAGUGCUUUUUGCAAUUUGAAGACAUGAUUCGGAAAAGUGUGAUCCACAAACCCUUUAGGUUGUUCAACAUAGACCUCCUCAUUAAGAAUACCAUUGAGAAAUGCACUUUUGACAUCCAUUUGAUACAACUUGAAAUUCAAGUGGCAUGCCAUAGCAAGAAGAAGCCUGACAGAUUCCAACCUAGCCACGGGAGCAAAUGUCUCUCCAUAGUCAAUACCUUCAAUCUGACUGUAGCCCUGAGCUACGAGCCUUGCCUUGUUGCGCACAAUCUGUCCGAACUCAUCCAACUUGUUUUUAAAGAUCCACUUGGUGCCAACCACAUUAGUGUGAGUAGGUCUAGGAACCAACGUCCAGACAUCACUACGCUUAAACUGACCGAGUUCUUCCUGCAUAGCAACUAGCCAAUCAUCAUCAAUAAGAGCAUCAGUAACAUUUUUAGGUUCAAGAGAAGAGAGAUAACAAACAUAAUGAACACAAUUUGUCUCCUUGGCCCUCCGACGAGUCAAACGCUGAUCAUUAAUAUCCCCAAUGAUAUCUCCUAAGGAGUGAUAUUGUUUGACACGAGGUGAAGCUAGAUUAAACACCCUUUCAGGGUCAGCAGGGACAGUGGAGAGAUCUGAAGACACAUCAAUCACAUCUGGUGAUUGAACUACAUCAUCCGGUGUGAGCACAGCACCGGUCCUACUAGGCACGUCCUCUGCAGCAUCAGAAGGUUUAGUACCACCAUUGCCAUUAUCAGGUGAUGAUAACGAUAUGGAAGACAUGUCAGCCGGGUCUGACACGGGUGAGAGAACUGUGACAUCCUGUGUACCAGUGGAAACAGAAGAGUCAGAUGUAAUAGUGUCAUCAACAACAACAUUAAAGGAUUCCAUGACCUUGCGAGUGGUGUAGUUAAACACUCGAAAGGCUCUACUGUUAGAAGAAUAACCAAGUAAAAGAGCUACUUCACCUCGACUAUCAAACUUGGACAGACUUUGUCUGUCCUUGCACACAUAGCACACACUACCAAAAACUCGCAUAUAUUUGAGAUUCGGCUUCUUACCAUACCAUAGCUCAUAAGCAGUUUGUGUAGUACCAGAUCUUAGAUAUACACGGUUCAUUAUGUAACAAGCAGUAUGAACCGCUUCCGCCCAAAACUUGGUCGGAACAUCCUUUGCAUGCAACAUAGCACGAGCCAUCUCCUGAAUAACACGAUUUUUCCUUUCAGCGACUCCGUUUUGUUGCGGAGUGUAUGGAGCCGAAAAUUCUUGCCAUGUACCAUUUGCAAUACAAUACUCAAUCACACCUGUGGCUGUGAACUCACCGCCUCUAUCGCUUCUGAUAUGUUUAAUUUGAGUAUCUUUCUCGUUCUGAAUACGAAGGCAUAUCCCCUGAAACUCAAGAAACGUAUCAGAUUUUUCACGCAAGAAUGAUACCCAGGUAAAGCGAGUGUAAUCAUCAACCAUAACCAAGAUGUAUCGUUUGCCUCCUAGACUAGGAGUACGAGUAGGACCCAUCAGAUCCAUGUGUAUGAGUUCUAAAGGGGAAGAUGUGGUUAUGGAUUUUUUCUUGGAAUGUGGACUACGUAUCUGUUUACCUAGUUGACACCCACCACACACAGUGUCUCGAUUUCUUCCAAGUCUAGGAACUCCCUUAAUAUAUUCAUUCCGAGUUAGAUUGUCCAGGUGUUCAAAGUUGACAUGACCGAGUCGUUGAUGCCACAAUAGACUCUCAUUUAGUUUGCUAGGUAAGCAGUUCAUGCUAGAUGUAACAGGCUGAAUGGCAUAGCAAUUAUCCAAUGUUCGUUUACCUGUCAUGAUACACUUACCCGAACUAUCAAGCACGGUACAUAUAUUUUUGGAAAAAUUAACAGUAUGGUCAGUAUCACACAGUUGGCUAAUACUGAUCAAAUUUACACGCAAACCAUCAACUAACAAACAAACAUCAUUCGGAGAUAAACCAAUACCAGCGACAAAUCCCUUACCAAUCACAAGAGAGCUCUUACCAUUCCCAAAAGUAACACUUCCACCAUCUAUAGCAGUAACGGAGGAGAAAAGUUUGGCAUUACCUGACAUAUGUUUUGAAGCUCCACUAUCAAGUAACCACUCACUAUCCGAGCUUGAGACAUGAAGGGCAGUAAUCGCCACAUUUGAAACAUUUCCUGCAAAGUUACAAGGAAAAGAGUAAGAGGCAUAUGGAUAAGAUGGAUAAUCAUACGACGGUUGUGAAAACGGCUUCCAUGAUUGUGGAACAUGAGCAGCCACACCACACUGCGAGGCCCAAUGUCCAAACUGUCCGCAUAGUGAGCACGACAUUUGACGUUUCCUUCCCUGAGGCGGAACACGCCUGAACAGUUUCCACUUACGCCGGAUGCCAACCGUGUCCACAGAGUGGUGAAUGUCGGACUUUUUGGUAGGAGGAUGGGGCAACAGUGGAGGUAAUUCAGAAGAUGACAGCCCAUUGCACUUUUCGAACGACUGAAAGCGAAUCAACUCCUUUUUGACCUUGUCUAGUUCUGAGGACACAAUCUUAUACCGAGCUUCCCAUUCGACCUUGUCAUGCUCAAGAGCAGCAAGAUUACCCAGUAAAGCCACCUUAUCAACCUGCCAUGAUACAGGUUCCCUAUCCAGGAUUGACAUAGAUGAGGAACUAGAAGACAAUAAGUCAAGUCUAUCCUGAAGAAUACAAUUUUGUGCCUCCAACCUUAGGCAUUCCUUUCUGGAUAACCGGUAUAGGGUAGCCCAAUCAUUAUUGUCCACCAGAAUCAAAUCCCUGUCACAAUUACUAGAGCAUUCUUUACUGUCAAUGGACUGCUCAUCAGACAGUCGAGCAACCACCGAGACAUGUGUCUUACCAGAGUAAUCCAUAGCACUAUUGAUCGUUAGCGUGAGCCUUUACGCUCCUUAACCAGCCCCCAGCGACUGAUACCAAUUGAGAAACUACAAAUAGUGCUAGUAUAACAAAUGUGAAUUCAAACAAGCAAAUAAACAAUACGCAGAAAGUAAAUAAUACACAGAGAUUUUUAACGUGGUAAAACCCAAACAGGGAAACGUCCACGGUUGUCCUCGCGACAACAAAAUAAUCCACUAGAUGAAAAGAGAUGUACAAACCUAUCAACUACCUGCACUCACUGCGAGUUGAUACUCCUGGUUAUCUCUAACACCUUGACUUCACCAGAGCACCUUGAUGUACGCACAAGACACUCGACUUCUUGAUGAACACACAAGAAGACUCGAAGCCGAAAUCACAAUAACUCUUAAAGAUCACAAAGAUAUGAAUGGAGAAAAGGGGGAAGAAAGGGAAUUGAGUUCAAUAGCCACAAACACUUUCAAUAUCACAAACCUAACCAAAACACAUGAACUAGAAGAAGGAUGGACGGCCAAAGAACUGACUUCUUCUAAGGAAGAGAAACCCUAUUUAUACUUAGGGUUGAAAACCUAGGAAAAUGGGCCGAAACUGUGCAAACCGACUUUGGACGUUCGUACGUCGAUAUGACGUUCGAACGUCGCAACACAAAAAUAAGUCUGAUGCCUUACAUGACGUACGAACGCUCUAACUCGGUACGUACGUCCUGACCAAAAGAUGUUUGCUGCUUCAGUGAACGUACGUACGUCCUAACUCGGUACGUACGUCCAGAACCCAAUAACUUUUCCUGGACAGACCUAAGAGACACAAGGACACGAGACGACCAUGCGUACAUCUUGAUUUUCCUAACAAUGAAUUCAAGGCGAGAUAACCAAAGACACUUUGUCACAAAAUUGAUGUCAAACCACUUCGUGCCGGUUUCACCUAAUUGGUAUAAAUGUUACUCCAGACAAAAAUAAUUCAUAUAUAGAACUAUAGAAGUAACCGCAUCACAGGCGCACAGAACUGUAACCACAAGUCCAUUUGCCUAGGUUGUUUUAUAUAUCCUGAACAAGUUUUUUGAUGGUUAGAUUUACUCCAAUUGCCAUAGAUGUUAGAAUAUAUACAUAUUAGAGAAGGCCACCUAGCAAUUCACGAAGAUUCGAUCCACGUUUCCGAAUAUCAAUAUCAUCCGUGAACCAACAACCUACAAUGUGGCUUGCUAAGUAAAAUUAAACAAAAUCCUAUUAAGCAAAUUAGUGCUGUAGACCCUGUAGAGAUACAGAUCCAACCCUGCAGUAAAAUUAUCAAAAUCCUAUUAAGCAAAUUAGUGCUGUAGACCAUGCUCAAUCAGUAAAUACUGAGCAGAAAAAUUAGAGUAAAUAAAAACAAUAAGUCAGGAGAAUUAAGUAUUUCAUUGAUGUUGUCAAAGGGAGACGCUUAAAUUUUUCGUCUCCUGUAUCUCUAAUACAAAACUAUCUACAUGAUUAACAUUUCUAACAUCUAACAAAAUUGGAUGGUUUAGCUAGUUUGAAGGCACCAGCCCCAUGAAAUGGAACCACAUUGCUGCAGUAUCUGCUCAUCAUCUAACUUAUGAGACAAGCAACUGACUAGUUAGUUCAAUGAAAGAGUCUUCGUCGCAUGGGAUAGUUAGCCCUCCCAUUGGAUGAUUAAACCCAAAUUCUUCCUCAGUUUGAUUUAACAAGUCUUGGAAUAAAGGAUGAGUCAAGUACGAGAUUGGAACCACAAAUCGUCUCUUUUCAUUCUCUCCAACAUAUACUGCAAUGUGACCUUUUGGAACUACAGUGGAGUUUUCCUUAUUUGAAAAAGAUCGUUGAAGACUUCUCUUAAUGUGAGGAAUUCCAAGUAAACGAAUAGCCAUGGAUGCUGCAAAGAAUAGCAAGGAAAAACAGAAUUGUUGGUCUUGAAUGAAAACUUGUAAACUUGGAGUUGGAAUGUUGGAUAAUGCUUUGAGCUGAUGGAGGUGUAUAUUUAUAGAGGAAAUGAUACUAAGAAAAUUCCUUCAUCAGGAGGAUAAGUAAGAAACAUGCCUUGUGAGGCAUCACAUGGGUUUGCCUGAAAUCUAAAACUUGGUGGUCACACUGAUCCAUUGUUCUGUGGCAGAAACAACAUGCCCUACAAACAAGAAAAAAAUGCUUCUGAGAUGGCCCCUUCUCAAUUUCAUAGCCAUACAUAUUUUUGUUGACAGAAACAAUCGCGUGAGCUCCAACACAUUUGUACAAUUCUCAACUGUGAAAAUCCAGCAGUCCCCACAAAAGAUUUGGAAUAAAACAUCACAUUAUUUGGAAGGGACAGUGUGUAAUGUUCAACUGAGCCUAUUUGGAUUUCGGGCGUAUGAUAUGGCCAAAAUGUGUCAAGUUGAUUGAUCCGGAUAAUUUGUUAAGGAAAAUUCAUUUGAUACUUCUUGAAGCAUAUGUAUCUUGUCAUCUUGAUCAGCCCUACAUUAGAAUUAUUUUUAAACAUUAAAUCCACAUUUGAUAUGACUGCAGCGCGCCUUAAAUCUCUGACCUUUUUGUUGCUGCAGAAUACAAGUCUAUGCAUGUAUUAUGAGUUCCAGACAUUUCUGCUAUUGAUCGAAAAUCGCGAACAGAAGAAAGGGCAUUGAUGGCAAAACUCCUAUGGAGGUUUGGUCUGGUAAGCCUGCUUCAGAUUAUUGUUUUCUUCAUGUGUUUGGGUGUCCAGCUUACUAUCAUGUCCGAGAGAGUAAGUUGGAUCCUCGUGCAAAGAAGUCUUUAUUUAUGGGUCUACAGAGUGGAGUAAAAGGUUAUAAGCUAUGGGAUCCAGAAUUGAAGAAAAUUAUUCUAAGCAGAGAUGUGACAUUUGAUGAGGCUUCUAUGUUGAAGUCUAAGAGCUCUCAGCAGGUGGAGAGCAAGGCCAAAGAGGUUUCGCAGUGGGUGGAGACUGAUAUAUCUCCACGUGUUCCAGGUGGUUCUGUAUCUUUGGAAACGUCUACUAUAAGGGUUCCAAGUGAGGUUUCUAGUGUUACAGAUUCUGAUGACAUGACAGAUAAUGAGGUUGAUGAUGAGACGGUUGAUGAUACAGUACAUGUGGACUCUGAUGAUGAGGGUCCAAUUGCAUCUAGAUUAUCCAAGAGAAAUGCGGGUGUUCCUAAACGGCUUACUGAUGAUAUGGUAGCUUAUGCACUUUCGGUUGUUGAUGAGGGUAUUCCAGAAACUUUUCGUGAAGCACUGCAGAGUAGUGAUUAUGAAAGGUGGAAGAAGGCCAUGGAUGAGGAGAUGAAAUCUCUUCAUAAGAAUGACACUUGGGAACUCAUGGAGUUGCCUAAGGGAAAGAAAGCAAUCGGGUGCAAAUGGGUUUACACUAAGAAAGAUGGGUCUCCUGGUGAAAAUGUACGCUUCAAAGCAAGAUUGGUGGCAAAAGGCUAUGCUCAGAAGGAGGGAAUUGAUUAUAAUGAAAUCUUUUCUCCGGUUGUGAAACAUUCCUCCAUUCGCAUCCUAUUGGCCUUGGUAGCACAGUUUGAUUUGGAGUUAGCUCAACUUGAUGUGAAAACUGCUUUUCUACAUGGUGAGCUAGAUGAGGAGAUUUAUAUGACUCAGCCGAGUGGGUAUAAAGAUGCGGGUAAUGACAAGCUGGUGUGUAAAUUGAAGAAAUCGUUGUAUGGGUUGAAGCAAUCUCCAAGGCAAUGGUACAAGCGGUUUACACAGUUUAUGCUUGGGCAAGGGUACACAAGAAGUCCAUAUGAUCCUUGUGUCUAUUUUCGCAAGGUAUGUGAUGGUUCUUUUAUCUAUUUGCUUUUAUAUGUUGAUGACAUGCUCAUAGCCUCUAAAAGCAAUGUGGAGAUAGACAAGUUGAAAAAGACUAUGUCUAUGGAGUUUGAGAUGAAAGAUCUUGGUGAUGCGAGAAAGAUACUUGGCAUGGAAAUUCAGAGGGAUCGAGACAAUGGAAGGUUGUGGUUAUCUCAAAAGGCCUAUCUACAGAAGGUGCUACAGAGAUUUAGCCAAUAUGAGAUUGGUGAAGCUGUGAGUAUACCUCUCUCAAAAGAUUUUAAGUUGAAUGCUUCCAUGUCUCCUAAUUCUGAUAGGGGACGUGCUUAUAUGGCACGUUAUCCAUACGCAAGUGCGGUUGGUAGCUUGAUGUAUGCGAUGGUAUGUACAAGGCCCGACAUUGGGCAUGCAGUUGGCACUGUAAGUAGGUACAUGCAUAAUCCUGGUGAGAAACAUUGGGAAGCUGUGAAAUGGAUCUUGCGCUACAUUCAAGGUAGUGUGGAGGUUGGUUUACUAUUCCAGAAGGGAAGGGAUUUGACUCAGUUGUGUGUUGGUUAUGUGGAUGCUGAUUAUGAUGGUCAGAUAGAGAGACGUCGGUCUACUACUGGAUAUGUUUUUACAUUGGCAGGUGGUCCUAUUAGUUGGCGGUCUACAUUACAAUCUUUGGUUGCUUUGUCUUCGACAGAAGCAGAAUAUAUGGCUGUGACUGAAGCCUUUAAGGAAGCCAUUUGGUUACGAGGUAUGUUGAAGAACUUGGGUAUUGUGCAGGAGAAGCUUAUGGUUCAUUGUGAUAAUCAAAGUACCAUAAAUCUGGCAAAGAACUCAGUUUAUCAUGCUCGUACAAAGCACAUUGAUGUGCGACAUCACUUUGUCAGAGAUAUUAUUGAAGAGGGUGAGAUCUUAUUGAAGAAGAUUCAUACUAGCAAUAAUCCGGCUGACAUGUUAACUAAAGUGGUUCUAGGGACUAAGUUCUAUCAUUGCUUAGAUUUAGUCCAUAUUCUUCCUUUGAGUGGAUAGUAUAUUUUGGAGUGAACUACGAUGGCUUGAUCCCUUAGAAGAAGGGUACGUAGGCAACCAUGAAGUGGUGCAGCCGAGGUGGUCCUUCGGGACAUGUGUGGGAGUUUGUGAUUUGUGUUUUUCGGCUUAGAUUUAUUGAAUCUUCGCCGAGGUGGAGAAUUGUUGGGUUUUUAUGUGCAAAAUGGCAGCAGGGAAGUAUUUUGUUCAGGAACGUACGAACGGCUUUAGGGCGUUCGUACGUCCAAUGUGGCAGACAACUUUUUCGGGACAGAACGUACGAACGUGGUUAGGGCGUUCGAACGUCCCGUACGCCAGAUCGUUGUUACGUGUUGUACACGUACGUACGUGAUUUCGACGUACGUACGUCCUUCUCCAGUUUUGUGCAUAUGGGCCUGUUUUGAGCCCAAUUCGUGGCUAUUGUAAGGCUAUACUAUAAAGCCAAAUAGAAUUUGACAAAACCUUAACUUUUCUGAAAGAGAGAUUGUGAGAAGCCAUUAGAGAGUUUGAGAGAACUUUUGUGAGGAAGAAGACUUCGGUUUCUUCGUGAGGGCUUGUACAAUUGUCUUGUGAAAGAAAAGCAUCAUCUUUUCUCCCCGUGGACGUAGGCAUAUUGCCGAACCACGUAUAUCUUGUGUCUUGUGUGUGAUUGCUUGUUUACUUUUGUCGUUUUGUUUACUUUCAUACACUAGUUCAAUUAUAUUAUUUGUGCAUUAGUCCGCUGCGCACAACAAUAGAAACAAUUGACAAGAAAGUUCUGUUUCUAUUAACAACAUUGUUACAGAAGAGAUAAGUGUUUCUCUGCUCCCCUAAUUUCUAAACAGUAUCUACACGGUUGACAACUCCCAUUAUCCUAAAGCUGGUAUUUGGUUUGGAAUUUGGACGGACAAAUUAGUCUCAACAUUAUCUUAACUCUCUUUUGAUUGUUCAUUGUUAGACUCAUGAAGAAAUCAGUCGACUAGUCAAAUGAAUGAAGGUGUCUUCGUCGCAUGGGAUAGUGAGACCACCCAUUGGAUGAUCAAACCCAAAUUCUUCCUCAGCUUUAUUUAACAAGUCUUGAAAUAAGGGAUGGUUCAAGUAUGAUAUCGGCACCACAAACCGCUUCAUUUGAUUCUCUCCAACAUAAACCGCAACAUGGCCUUUUGGAACAGCUGCAGUCUCCUCUGUAUUUGAAAGAGACCGUCGAAGGGACCUUCUCUUCUUAUGAGGAAUGCCAGGUAUGCAAAUAGCCAUUGAUGCUGCAAGAAUAACAAAUAAAAUGAAAUGAUAGCUGUCUUCUGAACUAGAGAGGGAAUUUGUUAAACUUGGAGUUUGAAUGGUAGUCUAAGCUGAUAGAUAUGUAUAUGUAUAGUGAGCAAUUAGGAUAUUGUUCUUAAUAAUUUCAAAGGUAGACAUGCCUUUUUAACCAUCACAUGGUUUUGUCCCACAUCUUCUUUGUCAUGUAAGGAGUUGCUAAUUAAGAUAAUCUGGUUUUGUUGCAUUAACAAGAUGCCCACCUAGAAAGCAUAGUAGUUGUGACUGGCAACCCCUUCUCGAUUAUAUCGAUUGGCUAAGUGGCGGAUCUAAGGGGGGUCAUGGGGUAUCACUUGACACCCCUGAAGUUUUGCAAUUUUUUUACUAUAUAUGUUCAAUUUUUUAAUUUUUUUAAAUAUAUUUAUUACCAAAGAUACUAUAUUGUAUCUUCUAAUAAAGUAAUAUCUGUUAAAUUGUUUUUCAUUCCCAUAAUUUAAGGAUUUUAUAAAGAUCUAGAAGAUCUUACAUAAAUAAAAUGUUAAAAUAUCUUUACAUUUAUGUACAUAAUAGAAAAUUACAAUUUUUUAUGUGUAUUUUUUGCCAACCUUCUAAAAAAAUUAAUUUUGAGUUAUAUCAAAAAAAAAAAAAAAAAAAAAUUCAAUCAACAAUCUCUUUUUUCUUGUUCAUCCAAUCACAUCUAUUUGAAUUGUGGUCUUUAACAUGAUGUUUUAGGCGCAGAGGUGCAAGUUUUGUAUGGUGGCAUGCUCUCAUAUAAUUGGGUCGAGUUGGUUGGGGUCUCAUAAUCUGACGGUAUCAUCUCAUGGCAUGUUGUUCAAAAUUGUUUGUGUGGUUUCUUUAUCAAUAAAUUGUGAAUUAUAUAUAUAUAAAAAAUGACGUCUGAAAUGAAAUAGACAAAUUUUUGAAGUAAUUACUUACUUUUUUUUCUUGUUUAUAUCAACUCUUGAUUAUAUUUAUUUAUUUUUAAUUAAAAUCUAUUUUACAUGAAAUGAUAGUUUUCUAGAGGUGUUUAAUUUCUAACAUUUUUUUUUGUCUAGAUGUAUAACAUUCUUGACCCCCUUAGCAGAAGAUCUUAAAUCCGCCAUUGUCUUCUAUUCUGCGUCCUUAUUCAUUCGCCACCACCUCACAUUCUCAUCUCUAUCUCCCACUUUCACCUUCUCCACUCUAUCUCCCACUUUCACCUUCUCCACCACCAACAGAGUUACUUCCUCCCCUCCCUGUUUUCCCCUUUUAUAAGUAUAGAGUUAUUAAAUUUUUUAUCGAAUAUUUCAAGAACAAACCCAAUGAGUUUGAAAAAAUUAAAUAGCUUCUAUCGGGGAAGUCGAUUAUUUUUAACGCCGAUUACUCAGAGAAUUCGUUUGAUAAAGAAGAACAAAAACAAAAGCAAGUUGUAACAUCAGGCAAUGGCGGAUCUAAGGGGGUCAUGGGGUAUCACUUGACACCCUUGAAGUUUUACAAUUUUUUUACUAUAUAUGUUCAAUUUUUUAAUUUUUUUAAAUAUAUUUAUUACCAAAGAUACUAUAUUGUAUCUUCUAAUAAAGUAAUAUCUGUUAAAUUGUUUUUCAUUCCCAUAAUUUAAGGAUUUUAUAAAGAUCUAGAAGAUCUUACAUAAAUAAAAUGUUAAAAUAUCUUUACAUUUAUGUACAUAAUAGAAAAUUACAAUUUUUUAUGUGUAUUUUUCGCCAACCUUCUAAAAAAAUUAAUUUUGAGUUAUAUUAAAAAAAAAAAAAAAAAAAAUUCAAUCAACAAUCUCUUUUUUCUUGUUCAUCCAAUCACAUCUAUUUGAAUUGUGGUCUUUAACAUGAUGUUUUAGGCGCAGAGGUGCAAGUUUUGUAUGGUGGCAUGCUCUCAUAUAAUUGGGUCGAGUUGGUUGGGGUCUCAUAAUCUGACGGUAUCAUCUCAUGGCAUGUUGUUCAAAAUUGUUUGUGUGGUUUCUUUAUCAAUAAAUUGUGAAUUAUAUAUAUAUAUAUAAAAUGACGUCUGAAAUGCAAUAGACAAAUUUUUGAAGUAAUUACUUACUUUUUUUUCUUGUUUAUAUCAACUCUUGAUUAUAUUUAUUUAUUUUUAAUUAAAGUCUAUUUUACAUGAAAUGAUAGUUUUCUAGAGGUGUUUAAUUUCUAAUAUUUUUUUUUUGUCUAGAUGUAUAACAUUCUUGACCCCCCUAGCAGAAGAUCCUAAAUCCGCCACUGGCAAUGUACUUAACUUUGGUUGAUCAGAUAGUUAUAUACUUAUAUGGUACUUGGCAAUAUAUGCCUCGUGACUGAAGGAUUACAUGGUUUUUUCUAGUAUCUUCAAUGUCAGGUACGAAGAAGUUAACUAAAAUGAUCUUGGCCAGUUUUGCUAGAGGAUAACAAGCUGGUGAGAGGUGAAUCAUCCUCAUUCAUAUCGGUGAUCCAAGUAUUUCAUUAUUUAGCUUUGUGCUUAGUCAUUAUUCACCUAGCUAUCUCUAUUAAGGUUUGUUAAUUAGUUAGAGUAUUUGACUUUUGUAGACAGCAUAUUUUAAUGGGAAGACUAGCCAAUCGACGUGCUUUAGUGCUGCAGUGCAGACAUGUUUCAUGAAUGAAGAGUAAGGUUUCCAUCACUCACAAUUGGACAUAGGGAAACUAUAGUGCAGAUGCAGUUGCUAAGUAUGUGUUGCACUAAAUUACAGUACCUUUGUGAGGAUCUAAUAGACUAAUAUGGUAGUCGACAAUUACAAAGGUAACCAGGCCCUUUGAAUGAAGGUAGUACUUGGUUUUGUCUGAUAUCUCAGAUGUCAUGUACACACAGUGGCACAAGGGAUUGGUUUUACAGAGGUUGACUACAUUACAUAAAAAUAGAUGGUAAGUUUUUCUCCCCAUUCUAAUUACACUCCCAUCACCUCCCACAGGACCAAACCACACAUUCGUCCCGGAGGUGCCAUGGUAGGUUGGGAGAAUAUCAUUUGAGUCAGCGCGCAACUGGACACACUACUGGCUCGGAUAAACACCAUUGUAUGAGGCAGGGAGAUCGUCAACCCAGCCCAGCAACAAGAUGCCGUAUGUUACCUAAAAAGCAUAUAUAUAUUAUAUAUAUAUAUAUAAUAUAUAUAUAUAGUUAAAUUUAAAUCCAUAGGUCGCGUCCUAUGUGACAAAAAUAUAAAUAUUCUGUCAAAAUUCAUAUUAGCCUUAGUGGAAUAAUUGAUUGUUCCAGACAAAGAUAGUUAUAUAUUGAAUGAAUAUAUCAUGCACGUACAUUUAUUUCUUUGCAAUUUAAUUGCAUUCUCUAAUACAUGUUGAAGAAGCCUCUUGUGAAAACACACACUCAAUCAUAUACUUAAAACUGUCUGACUUAUUUUGCUUAAUUACCUUCUGAUAGUCCAAUCAUACACCUUUUUGAAGGUACCAUCUUUCUGCACAAAAUAUACUCCAUCCCAUUGAGCCUUACGCACACAUACGUUACCAUCUGCGCCACCGCAAUUAUCUAUAUCAUCAUGGCCCUUGUACACUCUAUAGCUUCCCCACACCAGUUUAUGAUGAUCAUACCACCACAUACGACACCAAAACAGUGUCCUUCCAAAAAGGUUAUUUGUGAAGCUCCAUUCAGAGGUUUUAUUGAAAUCAAUAUUUUGCUCGCCAAGAUCAUUGUCUUUGGAUUUGCAGUGAAUAGUCAAUGUAUUGUUCGGUCCAAGUCCAUUCAUCACAAUAACACGCGCACUCUUAAUUCUGAAUGACGUCGGCACCACCACCGAUGAUGAAUGAUCCAAAACUGAUGAACAAGCAGUAAUCACCCCAGUAAGUAGUAGGAAAACAAAAGGAAUAUUGUUGUUGUUAGUAGCCAUUGUGUUGAAGGAAUGAAAUUAAUCAAUUACCCCUUAUUCACUUAAAUAGAUAUCAGGACGCAUUUUUAUUAUCUCCUUAAAUUUAGGAUGGACAGUUACGGUAACAUAAAAUCAGGACGCAGUUCUGAUGGCCCCUGUCACAGUGUCACAUAUAAAGAAUGACCCGGUUAUCCCUGUACAGUAACUUAACAUGUUAUACUAUCUUUGUAGUAUUAUACACUAAAACCUCGAUAAAUAAAUGCCCUUGGGAAUUAAAUUUUUUAUUACUUAAGCGAGGUUAUUCAUUUAUCGAGGUUUUACUGUACAUAGUCUGGAAAGAAAAAAAAAUCUAUAUAAUAAAUCGUAGGACGGUCCGAUUUAUGUUUAAGACAACCGUGUUUGUAGAUUUGUCUUAAGACAAUGAAGUUCUUUGGAUCAAUCACUUUCUCCAUAUGCUAUCUUUAUUAUAUUCGACCGACUUUUAGGAGGUCCAUUAUACGUUGGGUGGGAAAAAAAAACAGUGUCCGUUUGUCCACUUUCAAUUUUUUUUUUCUCUCUUUCUCUUCUCCAAUUCUUCUUCUUCUCUUCGUCUUUCUUCUAUCUUCUUCUCAUCUUCUCUCUCACUCUCAAUUCUCCUACUUCUCUUUCUUCUAUCUUAUUCUUCUUCUCAUCUCCUUUCUCUCUUUCAAUUCUCUUACUUCUCUUUCUUCUAUCUUCUUCUUCUCUCUCAAUUCUCCUUCUCCUCUUCGAUUUCUCUUUCUACAGUCGAUCCCCACCGUCUCACGGUUCUAUAUUCAUAAAAUAACCUACAAAAAUAAUCACAUUCUCCCAAUUUUAAUACAUCAUUUGUUUUUUUGUAAUAAUCUAUGUAACCCCAAUUAAUUCCAAAACAAUUAUAAUUAUAAGCCCAUCUUAUCAACCCAAAUUACUGCAGAAUAUUAAAGAAAAAUGAAUCCAAAGUUCUUAAUCGAUCAACUAUCUCAUUUUUUUCUCUUCCAUAAUAAAAAUAUCCUCCCUUAAUCAAUUUUUAACGAAAAUCUCUCUUCCCUAAACGUCUCCUCAAUUUUAUACUAAUUCCUAAUUUACUUAUAUAUCCUCACAAUUAAUUAAAUUAAUGGUGUAAGCUAAUAUUCACAUAUAAAUGGCAAAAAAAUCAACACAUUCAUCAGAACAAUUAGUAGUAAGUAGUAACAAGAAGUUUCUAUUCAUUGAUGUUGUAAAAGGGAAGGCACUUGUAUUUUCGGCCUACCGUAUAUCUAAUAUACAAAAGUAUAUACAUGAUUUGACAAAAUUGGAUGUUUGAAGGGACCAGCCUCCACAGAACCAUAGUGCUGCAGUACAUAUCUGCUCAUUAUCUGCUGACUAACUGACUUACAAGACAAUUAACUGACUAGUUAGUUCCAUGAAAGAGUCUUCGUUGCAUGGGAUAGUUAGCCCUCCCAUUGGAUGAUUAAACCCAAAUUCUUCCUCAGCUUGAUUUAACAAGUCUUGGAAUAAAGGAUGAGUCAAGAACGAUAUUGGAACUACAAAUCGCC